CAAAAAAAAAAGUAUGCAAAAAAUCCUUGUUCUUUAAAACUGCUAAACAGUAGAAAAAUCAUAGAGGUGAAAAAGAUAGAGAAGUUCUUUAAAGCAGUAAACAAUACAAAAAUCAUAGAAUAGGAAAAUAUAGAGAAGAUGAGGAGUGUACAAACAAGAAUAAGAGCUGAAGGACAUGGAUGAAGAGCCAGCGGAAAUUCCACAUCUCUGAGAACAACACCUGAAAUAAGGAAUGUGAAGGUCAGGCAUGUCAUUGUCUUUUCGCAACACUAUCGAGAAAAAUCAAAGAUUAAAAUAUAGAUAAGUCGAGGGAUGAUGACGGAGAUAAGUAAAUCUCCGAAUCAACUAGGAUACAUCUAGAAGGAAUAGUACCCAGAACACCGCAAGGCAUUAUCUUUCUGAAUGAAAAACUAAGGAACAUAUCACAGCCAGAAGUUUCAUUAAAUAAAACAAAGAUAUGAUAAGAUCACGGCCAGAGCACAGAUAGUAACUCAGGAGAGGACAAGGGUCCCAAUAAUAAAAGAAUUUGUGCCGCCAGUAUAAUUGGCCGUCAGUAUCUAUUAUAACAAAGACACUCUCUAGGACUUACUUUUCUGUAAUAUAUAUUAACUACUUUGGAACGUUUCAUCUUGAUAGCCCAUAGUACUGCCUCAUAGUCUUCUGGUUUGCAUGUGUCUGUAGCAUGCACUACUUUUCAAACAGACAACAGCUUGAUGAAACAAGAACUUUUUCCACUAGAACUAGCGUGUAACAAACACCACGUUUGUCGUCAAUGAGUAAGCAUAGUCCAAUAGUUAAACAACUCCUAAAGUUUCUACAAUUAUUUUAUGCUAGUUUGGUUACUAAUGCAAAGGUCCACUUGAAUUCUUUUAGCUCGCAAUGCAUGAUACAAGGACUAAAUUACAGCUGUAAAAGUAUCAAGUACAUCUAAGAUGGAAUCAGAUUUUGAUAAAGUGACUUUAGCAAUGUUUAUCAGAUAGAUUUCGUGCAACUUAAGAUGAAUUGCGUACCUGUUCCAUGACACCUUUGAAGCAGUUGCACUUUAGACGAAUCUCUCAUAUAUAUGGUCCUAAAACCAAAAGAAAGUGGAAAACGCCUUAAAGAAAAAAAAGUACAACAACUGAAUGAAUAUAUCGUCCUAAAACCAAAAGAAAGUGGAAAGCACCUUAAAGAAAAAAAAAAAGUACAACAAUUGUAUGAAAUUUUGCAUCUUCAACCAUAAUUUCACUAUCUAUUUCACUCGGAAGAGCCAAAACUUGAACAGUUUGAAGUUAUAAGCAGCUCGAAUUCGAAUUAAACUGUUCCUAUUUGAAAUCCAACACAAUGCAAACACAACAAGAACACGAUCAAACGGAAAUAGAAGCGCGAUUUGAUUCGGUCACCAGAAUCUGAGGAGAGAAGAAGAAACGGAACGGGAACUCGAGCAGAAAUCGAUGACCGCAUCCUUGCGGCUCCCGAUCCCGAUCACCUCCACGGGAUCCGCGUCGCGGCGCGAGCCCACGGAGCCGUUCGCGUGCGAGGGCGCCGAAGAGGCGCGGAGGAGAAAGGGAGGAGGCCUCGGGUGGCGGAAGAAGGGCGAGACGCUCCGAGCGCCACCGCGCCUCGGCGGAGAGGAGUUGCGGGGAAUGGAGAGGGAGAUGCUUCGGAGCGCGAUCGCCAUGGCGAGAGAGGAGAGAGGAGAGGGAGAGGAGGAGGAGGAGGAGGAAGAGGGCGCGAAGGGUUUCGAGCAAAGCGGAGGUGGAGCUCGAAAGCGCGUCGAGUUUUCUCUUUUUUUUUUAAUCCUUUAUUUAUCUGGAAAUGGGAAAGGUGGUUGCUUAAAAUAUGUGUGCAGACCAGGUACACCACGUCAUCAGUAGACCACAAAAAUAUAAUCUGUAGACCAUUUGCACCACGUCAGCAGUAGACCACACAAAUCUAAUCUCGUUAUAUCUGAUUUUGCCAUAGGAGGUGUACGGUUUGAGUUGGUACACUGACCCCGUGCUGUAAUCUCCACAUGCUUUGCUGCAAUCGACGGUGAGGAUGAGCCUUACGGUUGUAAAUGGGCCGGAGUGCAUUAACAUGGGUCGGGCCUUGAGUAACCCCGGUAAUGACGAUAUCGUAAGCGGCGCUAGCCCGGGUCUACAAUUUGAUUUGCACUGAACCCAUUUUGAUUACUUGCGAGAAAAAUGCGUUACAUCCGUGUGAAAAAAUAUGAUGAAAAAUUAUUUUAUUUAUUUUUAUAAAAAUAUCAUCUUGUUUAGAUAAUAAUAAUUUAGUCACGGGGAUUAAUGAUAAACAUUGUUUAUUUUUUAAAUUAGCUCUACUCAAAAAAAUAUUUCUUGUAGAAGCUUCCGCUAAGCCACAGGCUCACGCCCACCUAGUAUGUUGUUGGCCUACAUUUUAGCAUAUUGAGAGAAAUUUUUUUGUUUAACAUGAAUGUUUUUUUUUUUUUUUGAGAGAGAGAUAAGUAGCACGCUACUCGCUUCGUUUUAAUUCAUUUAGAAAUAAAUUUAGCUAAAAAUGUGAAUCAACUAGAAUUCGAACUUGGGUCUCGGAUACCAACCACCAAGCCCUUCGUCACCAAGCCCUUCGCCACUUUUUUAACAUGAAUGUUAGAACUAAAGCGGAGAGAUCUAGCUAAUUCGUUCGAUGCGAAAAUACAAAAAAAAAAUUCGAGAAAAAAAAAUAAAGCACACAAUAUUUACGUGGUUCAACUAUCGGUCUACAUCCACGGGCGAAGACAGAAUGAAGAUCUUCAUCAUAAUCAAAAUGGUGUACAAAAUAUGGCUCUCUCAUAAAACUCAAAUUCUAAAAAUAUAUACACCCAUAUUCCCUUUCAUCUGCCGCACUAAAUCAAUGGAAUAAUCGGUAUAUUUAUAAUAGCAGCUAAAUUCUACUACAACUAGGAAUAUAGUACAAACCCACUAAGAUUAGAAAUAUUUCAAUAAGAUUAAAUAUAAUCUAAACUUAACUUAAUAGAAUAAUCAAAACAGCAUAAGGUUAGAAAUUAAACCUUACGGUACUAAAAUUCGGAACAUAUCUAACAAUGAAGAAUCAAUGAGAGCCCAAGAUCCGUAUAUCAGCGAUAGCAACACAGAAAUAAAAUAGAACAUGAACUGUGAAAAUUAUGUAAUCAAAAAAAAAAAAAAAAAAAAUCAUGCAGAUCACAGCAUAUUAAACCCCAGUUUAUGCCACUUACCAGAUUCUAUGUACUAACUAUUGCAAGGCGUGGGCAUAGCAUUGCUCUCAGUUUGAAUAUCGAUCGUUAUCGCAUUAGUUUUCAAGGCAUGUAUAUGUACACAUGUGAUGAUGUUAUACUACCAUGGAUGUAUCUGCGUACAAAUUACCUAUCACCAACAUAGGAUUCUCCCUUUGCUUGGCCCGAUCACUUUAGUUGAGAGAACAAGCCGUACUGCAAUAUAUUCUUCAUAUAUACCAAAAGGCUCAGCAAGAUUAAGACACUAGUGGGAAACAAAAAACCCCAUGUGUUAUCGAUUUUGUAUACAGCAUCAACACAGUUCUAUAUAUAUACACGCACACUAAAAUUGAAGAAACACCUGCAAUAGUACUUGACGCAUGAGCUUGAGUACGUACGACACCAACCUUGAAUUAUGAGUUUAGGAGAAUGUUUAAACAUUAUUUUAAUUGGUAAGAAACAAGCUUAGAUUCCCUUACUGUGCACUUUAUGUUUUAAUAGUAAGCAUAUGUUGGCAUAUGUUUUAAUACUAACCUUAGAUUCCCUUACUGUAUACUCUUAUCUUCCGGUGUUCAUUGAUCAAACAAAUUAGGAUAUAUUAAAGAGCAACGCUAAGUUGUAUGUUCCUAGACUGAGUGUACAUAUUACAUCUUACUCAUCCAAUGUCUCUCACUUUCUACUUGUUUUGUCAACUUUUUAUUUUUUGAUUAAAAUCUAAUUUGAUAUUUUGUGAACCCCAAGAUGGAAGGAUUAUAAAAUUUACACUUUUGGGUUGAAAAUUUACUACAGGAUUAAAAUGGGUGGAUACGGGAAUUGCUAGGUUUUCACAGUUUGAUAGAUUAAUUUCCCACUUUCAGAUUUUUGGCAAAUUAAUCCGAGCCUAAUUCGGUGUAUAUAAUAUAUAUAUAUAUAUUAUAUAUAUAUAUAUAUAUAUAUAUAUCUUUUAUAUAUAUAGUCCAGCUACUAUACUCUUAUGAGUAUAGAACCUCUUGUACUCAUAAGUUUUUAGCCGUUAGAUCUAUCUUUAAUCAUUUUCACCCGUUAGAUUAUACUAUUCAACCAACCACCCACUCAACCCUAGAGGGCCCGCUAUCACCUAACGUAACCACUUUCAUCCUACCGUACAUUUUUCAUCCGAACGGUUAAAAAAUUAUGAGUACAAAGGGCUCUAUACUCAUAUGAGUAUAGUAGCCCCAGUCUAUAUAUAUUUAUAUAUAAUAUACUAGUAAAAUGUACGUGCAAUUCAUAUAUAAUUAUUAGAAAAAGUUAUAAUUUUUUUAAAUUAUUUUUUAAUUUUAGGCCAUAUUUUAUAUGAAUUGCCAAUAUGUAUCUAAAAAUUUAAAUAAUAAAUCACGCCUAUUAAGAAGAUAGAUGCUUUAAAUGGGGAUCAAAUAUAAUGAACCAAUAAAUCUUUCUAAUGCAAAAAUUACUUUGGAAAUUAAAUUAGGAAAAAUAAAAAUCGGGUUAGGAAAAAAUUUUUGAAAUUAAUAGAAAAAUAAAAUUCGUUUCUUAAAAAGAAAAAUAUAUUUUGAAUUAAAUAGAUAUAGAUCUAAAAAGAUAUUUUCAAAUAAAAUAGGACAAAACUUUUUUAUAGAUUUUCACACCCCGUAAUCUGUUAUAAGAAAAUUACUUUGAAAAAUGAAAAUUUAUAUUUUUAGGAUUUUCACUCAGCUAAUCGUUUAGCAGAAUUACUGUAUUCAUUGGUUGUUUCUAUUUCUAUUUUUAUUUCUUAUAUUUAAAUUUUUCGUACGGAAAGAGAAAAAGAUGGGCCGUAAUUUUUUUCCCCGAAAAAUGGUCUGUCGACAUACCCAAUUCUGAUAUACGUGUAUAGUUAUAUUAGUAUAUAAAUUAGGCACUUAUACUCAUCUUAUAGUCCGAGCUCCGGUACUUAUAGUGUUUGUUUCGAUCUUAGGCAAUUCAAGAUCAAACGAUCCGCACCGUUAAAUAUAUCUAGGGUCUAUUAUAACGUUUCUUAGGAAUAAAUUUAUAGUUUUUUUCGUAUUGUUUACAUUAGUAAAUACAAAUUAUAUCAAAAUGGACGGGAAAAUUGAUAAUCUUUUAAAAUUUGAGUAUAGGACAUUAAAUCAAGAUCAAGAUGUAUAACCUUGAUCUAUAUAUUGUUAAGUAUAUUGCUUAUCAAAAAUUUGAAGAAAUUAAGAUUUUUCUACACAGUUAAACUCGCAAACUCGCAUAAUAGCUUAUUGAAAUUGACAAUUUUAAAAUAGUUUGAUCAUAUUUAAGUAGACUAUGUCGAAAAAAGUAUAAACAUUUUCAUUUCUAGAAACUUUAAUACCCUUAGAUCAAUUUUGACGGCGUAUGACGUUGGUUGAGACGACACUGAGAUCGAAACCAAAACGUAUAGUACCGAGAGCUCAGUGACUAUAGUAGUAUAGUAGCCUGUCUUAUAUAAUUAUAUAAUUAUAUAUAAUAUAUAUAAUUAUAUAUAUAGAUGAUACAUUUUUGAAGAAAACUAAAUAGGAGUCAGAGGCAUGUUAAACAAUUGCUUUCUUUUAUUUUUGAAACAAUCUGACUGUGCAUAUAUAUUCUUACAUGCGCCACUUUUUUUGCGCGGAAACGAUGCACAUUUUCCUACUUAGAACAAGACUUAAUUACUAACCAACUGUUCUUCAAAAAUAUAUAGUUUAUCGGUGAGUUAACGUGUGUGUGUGUGUGUGAUAUAAUAUAUAUAUAUAUAGAGAGAGAGAGCAUGAGAUGGAGAGGGAGACGGAGAGACGAGGAGAGAGCAGGGCUACUAUGCUAUCGAAGCACGGAGCUUCCGUGCUUCCAGUCAGUUUCGACUGUUAGGACUUUCGAAUCUCAAUCGCACUCCGUCUAUAACUUGAUCUAAGAGUAUUUUGAUAGUACUUAGAAAUAAUUUUAUGGUUUACGAGUAGUAGUUGGUUAGGUAAUGAGAGGGCUCAAAAUCAACGGCUAAAAAUAAACAUCUUACAAAAUAUAAUAAAUGGACAUUAAAAUUUUUAAAUCAAAGAUAUUAAUUCUUGUUUAUAUGUAUAAGAAUAUUUCUAUCAAAAUUGUCCGUGAUUUGGAUAUUUCUACACCGAUAACUGCAAACGGCACACUACGGCCUUGAAUUUAGAUUGAGUUUGGAGCUCUGGUCCGGAUCACUAGCAAUGAUAUCGCAAAACAUAAUAAAUUUAUUUUCUAGUACUUCAAAACUCGUAGAUUAAGGUUUAACGGAGACCAUCGACGAUUCGAAAGUCGCCUAAACAUCGAAAACGAAGCUGGGAAGCACGGACGCAUCGUGCUUCCAUAGCAUAGUAGCCUCACCUAUAUAUAUCUAUAUAUAUAAUAUCAAUAUUAUAUUAUACUAUUAUAUAAUAUAGACAGUUAUUAUAUUAUAGCACAAGUCAGUUUGCUUACCAACGGUUUUGGCAUUGGAUUCAAGAGAUAUGCGCGUUAGGUAGUGUGAUGUGGGGUCCCUUAGAGUUGAAUGACGUAGUUGGUUCGAAUAGUAUGGAUCAACGGAAAUGAAUGAUUAAAAGGGCAAAUCUUUGACGUUUGAAAAACUUGAGACCAAGUGCUUCAUGCUAUUAAUAGCAUCUAAUAGCCGGACUCUAUAUAUAUAUAUAUAUAUAUAUAUAUAUAAAAUUGGGCUACAAUAUUAUUGAUAUAUAAUAUGAGAAUACUAUUUACUAUAUACUUUUUUAUUAUUAGAUGUUUAAGAUUUAGUACGGAUUUGGUGAAAUGGUAUGUAAUAAUUAUCCGAGCAUAAAAAAGUUGAUGGUAAUUAAAUACUAUUUAUAUACUAUCUAUAAUAUUUUGACUCAACUUUAUAUAUAUAACAUUUGAGUUUAAAUAGGUUUAAGUAAGAUUUUUUUUUUUUUGAGAGAUAGGUAGCACGUUACUCGCUUCGUCUAUUUUAUUUAGAAAUAAACUUAGCUGAAAAUGUGAAUCAACUAGGAUUCGAACUUGGGAUCUCGGAUACCAACCAUCGAGUCCUUUUCCACUUGCUCUCUUUGCCACUUGCUCUAGAGAUGGUCGAUUGGUAGGUUUAAGUAAGAUUAUUGAUUUUACAGCAUCAGUAGUAAUCGUGAGAACUCUAGUAGCUAGGUGUCCACUCGAUCUCUUCACGUGAGCUAGCAGGUUCACAUGCAUGCUUUCCGUGUAAAUGGUUUUACCAACUGUACGUAGAUUAAAUAGAUUAAAUAAUAUUUGAAGGAGAAUCGGAAUGAAAAUGACUAUGCUCUGAUCAUUUGGCUCAGUAAUAGGAAGUGGUCCUACUCCAAUAAUAAGAGCUAAAAUGUACAAUAGUUAAGCAAAAAAAUUUAGCCAUACAUAUUUCCCUCCCAAAAGUGUACGGCCAAAUUAAAUAUAAUGAAGUGAUGAUUAACCUUUUCCAUCUCUUAAAUUUCAGAUUAUUAUAUAUUCACAAAGUCAGGUUGGUCCUUUUUUUUCGAUUUAAUUCAAUGUGUAAUGACAAAUGUUUUGUUUUUCUUAUUGACUUUUAACUAGCUUUGAUUCAUUUUAACUCGUUUUAAAUACUAACUCAUUUUGAUAAUUCAACAGCUCAAUUUAUUUUUAGUAGAGUAAUCUAAUAAUUAAAGAUAAUUAAUUAGAAAUAGUCUUAUAUUAUUUUCCUCUAUUUUGGAAAGUACAUCACAUGCAUGGACGAAACAUGUGGAAAUCUUAUGAAGUAGACACUGAGACGAUAACAAAUAAAAUUCUAAUUCACGGAACAUCAGGAAGUUAAUGGCGAACUCGAUCAUGACGAGCUGAGGGUUAAAUCUCAUCAAGGAUAUACCUGCAGGUUAAAUCAAAGUUAUUUAAAAAAUAAUUGAAAAAAAAACAAAAUUAACUUUAACAUUAUUUAUAAAAAAUAAAAAAAGAUAUGUUUUUUUGAGAAAUAGGUAGCAAGCUACCUGCUUCAUUCAUUAGGUAAAAUGAACUGAGCGUACAAGUUGGAAGCAGCUUAGGCCUCCGAGAUAGCCAAAAAAUAAAAAAGUAGUAAAAUAAAAUAAAAAAUAAAAAGUAGUAAAAAUAAACUAAAAAUAAAAUCAAAGCAUAGUAGUCCAAGUGCUGAUCAGAAGUUUGAGUCGUUCAAGGGAUUCGAAGACCGUGGGUGGCUUUCUGUUGAAUGUGUAGUUGUUUCUGUCCGUCCAGAUUACCCACCAAGUCGCUGCCAGGAGGGUAUAAAAAAAGAUAUGUUAAGAGCUCAUAUAUGAAGUCCAACCUUGGACAAUUAUAAGAGAGUAAAAGAAUUGAUAUAUACUAGUGAGUUAAGAUCUAAUAAACUUAAACUUUUAAAUGAGUUUCAUUCAAUAUGUCAUUUUUUGGGGCUCAUAUGAGUUCGGAUUGGAUUCAAAACUUCCUAAUUCAUAGCAUAAUUUAACAAUCCUAAACAAACUCGUCUAAUAGUGUACUGCGAUUAAGUUGGUGGCUUUUAUGAACAUGACUGAUUUUCGUAGUGGAAUGUUGAAGCAUGUGCACUCAAAAGAACUGCAGGUUAGACUAAUGGACUUAGAUGAUGGUUGGUUCAUUUAAUACAGUCGAAUCCGAGAGGCACAGGUUAAUUAGGUGUUUGGAUUCGCAGUAACUCACAAAAAGAACUUGAAGGAUAUGCAUGUCCUGAAGAAGAACCCUCGGGAGGCUUAUGUGAGAUGCAUGGAUUCACGAUGACUUAUCAAAAAAAGAUAGGUUAAAUUAUAGAAAACCUCCUAUCAAUACCCGCUUUUUCACUUUUCUUCCCUAUCAUUUAAAAACCUACAAUUUGCCCCCUUGUAAAGUAAAAAAUGUUCACUUCACUCCAUACCGUUAGUACUCCGUUAAGAUUCCAUUUAUAAAAUAUUAUUAUACAUAUUUUUAUAUUAAAAAUACUCUGCCUGUUGAGGGGUAAAUUGGUCAUUUUGUCAUUAUAGUUAACAUCGUAACAUUUUGUGCAUAUUUUUUAUUUUACAAGUGGGUAAAGUGUAUAUUUUUAAAUGAUAAGAAAAAAAAAGAAAAAAUACAGAUAUUGAAAGGAGGGUUUAUAUAAUUUAGCAAAAAAAAUACAUAAAGAGAUGUCACGAAGAAGAGCAAAGACAAAAAAAAAGGACAUGUUUUAAAGCAAAGCUGGAUAAAAAGGACUAUUAAAUAAUUUGUUUGGGCACGGUACCUGGAUGGGCACCACGUGUGCAGCGACGCCCAUCUGCACCCUAAAAAAUAAAUUAAUAAAUGGUGGGCUCGAUUUUUAGAAAGAAAGAGAAAAAGAGGAGGGGAAGGGAGGGUGCGGAUUGGCGCCGCUGCACACGCGGCAUCCAUCCGCAAUUUUUGUCCUUUUUAACAGAGAAUAGUUAAAGAGGGGCCUAUUGUUCGAAUUACAAAACAUUUAUAGUACGGCUCGGUCGCAUACAAUUUGACAACAUUAAAUGCAACUUAAUAAAUCAACUGGCACGUGGGACCCACAAAUAAUGUAUCUGAAUGAAUAUAGCAAAUUCCGAGGCUUGCUUGUUCAUUCUCUUGUCGGGUGUGCAAUAGUAAUUUUACUGUGGAGUCAAAAAAAAAAGAAAAAAAAGGACAAUUAUUUAUAUACUUCUAAAAAAUUUUCAACUUUUCCAUAUACCUUCUAAAAAGCUAAUAUUAAAAAUAUCCUUUCUAUAUUCUAACCUAUUUCUAAUAUAUCUCUAGAGUUAAAAUCUCUGUUAUUUUUAUAAAAUUACUAUUUUAUCCUUUUAAAUAUACCCUUUCAAUAUAUUUCUCUACCGUCACCAACAUUUCUUAUUUUUUCUUAAGUUAUGGGUAAAAUUGACAUUUUAAUUUUUUUAAACUAUAAUAGAUGUUUAACUCACGUUUAACCUAAAUUAAUUUAACAGGAGAUAACUAUGGGGUAUUUUGUAAUAACGGUGGAACAUAUAAAAAGUAUUUAAAAAAAAAUAAAUAAAUCAGAUAUUUUUGAAUAUAUGAAGGGUUUAUAGACAAUUAUAAAAAAAAAAGAAAAAAAAAAGAGUAACUGUCCUAUAUUCGUGCGGAAUCCCCAAACGACACAAAAUGCCACCGAUAAUCGAAGAAAUUACCACAGUGCCCAAGCAUCCUCAUGAGGCGAGAUUCGGAGGACAAAACAGUAAAAUCAGAUGUCGACAACUGGAUAAGUUAAAAAAUUGCUAAAUCGCGCCGCCACGUGGAUUCCGGCGCACGUUAGCGUAGCGGGGUGGGGGGCGACGCUCUCGUGACCGGGUCAAAAGACUCAAAACAAAAGAGAUGGAUAAGGUCAACAUUAAAAUAUAUAUUUUAUUAUAUUCCAUCGAAAAGGAAUACAUAGAGAGGUGGAAAUGGAAUGUUUGGAAUGUAAAUAAAAUAAUAAUUCUUGUUGUAUAGAAGGGCGAGAUUAUUUAGAGAGGAGUACGCUUGUAGGUAUAUGCUUGUAUAUUUUUAUGUUCCUUCUCAAUAAUUCUUUUUCACGUGGACUCACUUAUUGCAUGUAUCUACUAGUUUACAAUAAAAAAAGUUUAGCUUAUUUGUGUGUAAUCUUUAUUUCAAGUAUAUAUUGACUUAAAAGAGCAAUAUUUUAUAUUACUAUGAAAAAUGAUGUUGGACUGAAUCACGUUCAAAAUUUUGAAAAGUUGAGCUGAAUCAAAUUAUAUUUGAAAUAGUGGGAGGUCAGAUUGAAUUGAAUCACAAUUGAAUUACGUGAAUAUUAUGUUUGCACGUUCUAAGUAAAUAGCUAGGUUUCACCUUUCUAGUUAGAUAUUUGAUUGCAUCUGCAUUUUUAUGCAUCUUACUUUUUUUGGCUUGUUAUUAUUUAUGUAACUAAUCGAAGCUUUGAUCUCAUUAGUUAGAUACUUUUUUUUUAAAUGAAAUGUUCGAAUCGAAGUAGAAACUUCAUAUUAUAUAUUAUUUAUUAGUGCAUCAUUUACCUUAGCGAAACUCUUACCACCCACAACUGGAUCUAUCUCUUCAUUCACAGGCCUGAUUCUCUCUCUCUCUCUCUCUCUCUCUCUCUCUCUCUCUCUCUCUUUCUCUUCACAUAGAGCAUGCAUGUUGUUUUGUACUGUAGCGAUCAAGCACCAUCUAUAUGUGUUUUUCCCCGUGAGCUCCUGCAUACAUGAGAGAGAGAGAGAGAGAGAGAGAGAGAGAGAGAGAGAGAGAGAGGGGGGUAGAACACGAGGAAAACAACACAAGAGGACAGGUCACUGCAUAAUUGUAAAGGAUACAAGAGGAUGCGAAGGUGUGCAUGUGGUGGUAUUCUCACAAUAAGCAGUGAGGCAGGUUUACCAGUGUUGUCUCAUGCGUAAGCAUAAGCGCCGCAGCUUUGAGUCGGAACUUUGUAGGAGCAGCAGAGAUCACUUUUCAUUAAGCAGUGGAAACUUGAUAUAUAGUUGGGAAAAGAUGGUAGCUAGAACAGAAAAAAUAGUAGAAACAAAGGAAAGAAGAAAAGAAACAAAAGCCAUGCCAUGUUUAGGACUAUCUAUAAAGAAGCCCUUUCGACGCCAAAUUAAAGAAGCACAAAUUAAGAUACCACAGAAGCCAAAAAAAUAAAGAGCAAAAAGUCACAGUUAUUUAGAUCCUAGCUACGACUACACCAACUAUAAAAACCACAUUAUACCAUGCAAUAACGGCACCUUCGCCUACUUGACCAUGCUCAUGAGUUACACAUAUACCUACUAGGGUUUCCCCCUUUGUGAUGCGCACUUGUUGCAGUGGAUCUCUUUCAUCAUCAAACUUAUUGAAGAACAUCUCUUCUUCUUCUUCUUCUUCUUCUUCUUCUUCUCUCUCUCUCUCUCUCUCUCUUUAUCUCCAAAUAACUUAUUUGAGAUGAAUUUUGUUGAUAGAUUCUCAUUGCAAAUUCCCGCUUCCGAAUGAUCGGCUCGAGGCGGCGCCGCCGGACUUCAUUUCCGAAUCAAGCGAGCCCAUGUCAAGCCCAUGAUGCUGCUCUCUCUGAGAGAUUCCACCCCCCAUGCCCCUCACCAUGCUCCCUCCGACACCGAGAAAGUCACGAGUGAGCCGGUCGAAACCGCCGAGCCCCGUCUCCUGCUCCUGCCCACUACUCAUAUAAUUCCCACCAAAUGCAGCAGCAACUCCUCCGCCGCCACCGCCGCUUCCGCCGAACAUGUUACUACUUGCAUUUGCUAACGAGUUCAUGAGGUCUUGGAAGUGGUUUUCAUGCUCCACUUGAGCUCUCGAGCUCUCGCCGAAGCUGCUGGACCUGAACACGCCAGGCUUAUUUGCACCGCUGUUAGAAUAAGUGCUUCCGAAUCCUCUCAACAAAGAGCUUCCGCCGCCCCCACCACCACUCGUCGUCGCACCCAUCUGUGCGGCCUUCUGAAGCAAUGCGGUCGCCGACAUCUGCGGCAGGACCGAUUCGCCGCGCAUCGAGUUGUUGUACAUCUGGGAGAUUCCCGUUCCGAUGUGGUGAUCGCCGGCGAUGAGAUUGCCUGGGAAGAGGCUCCCAGACUCUGAGUGGUUGCUGCCGUUGUUGUUGCCGCCGCCGUUGAAUUGGUCGGGGACGCUGUUGUUCAUCGGAAUUGCGUUGCUGCUGUUCGAAAAGAAGCCGAGGUUGAACAUGUUGGCUGCCGCCACUGCGCCCGAGUUCGAUGAAGAGUUGUUGGCGUUUCCUUGGAGGUCAGGGAGUUGCAUUAAGCUAUGAAAGGGUUUGCUUUGGAGAAGAGAAUGCUGCUGAGGCUGAGGGUCUUCGUUAUGGAACUCUUGACUCGCGCCGCCGCCGCCGCCGCCGAGAAAGAAAGGCGACGACGAGUGCGGGUGCGGAGGCGGCGGUGGCGGGCGGAAGGCGGAAGAGGAGAGGAGGUCUUGUAAAGAAGACAUCUGGGAGCUCAUCUGAGAGAGGCCCAAGCUCAUGUUACUGUUGCCGUACAAAUGGCUUCCGAUGGGGUUUAACCCCGGAGGGAUUCUUGCAGUCUCUUGCGCUAGGGCGUCGCAGAAGGCUCUGUGGGUUAUGAAGCUAUCUCUCCUGCAUUAUUAAUGGUGAUUAGGGCAAGGAUUACUAGAUGAAUGUGUGUGUUGUACCUUACAUUCUUGUAGAAGAAAUGAUAGCAUAUACUUUAUAGUAUUUGAUAGUAUUUGUAGACGCUUAAAUCAAAGAGUGAUUUGAUUUUUAACAUUCAGCAGAAAAUUAUUUAUUAAAUUUAUAAAUUAUUCUUUAUUAUUUAUUUAUAUCUGAUUAGAUUUUAUAAGUCUCACAUGUCCCUCANNNNNNNNNNNNNNNNGAAUUUAACAUUCAGCAGAAAAUUAUUUAUUAAAUUUAUAAAUUAUUCUUUAUUAUUUAUUUAUAUUUGAUUAGAUUUUAUAAGUCUCACAUGUCCCUCAGAAAUAUGGCUUCAUUAUGGCUUUGUUAGUCUUAAUUCCCUAAAUCAAAUUCAUUAACUUGAAUCUUAAAUUCAGUGAUUGAAAUAUGAGACAUAUAGUAAUGCUAUGCUUACUAAUAAAUUUUUCAACACUAUAUAUAAACUAGUAUACGUGGUGGUAUUUAGAGUAAUAUAUACUAUACUUAAAAAUAAAUUUCACAACACUUUACAGACGAAUAUUGUGAGAUUUGUUUGUAAGCGAAGCAUUUUUCCAUAUGUGCAUUGUGUAAAUUAUUUUCUUAGAUACAUCAUAUAUAACCAAUGGUCGCAUAUGGUACAUUGAAAGUGAACUCUUCUUAUAUAUGUUGCAAUGAAACAAAUUAGUAAUGCAAAAAUUAUUACUAAAUAUAUAUAACUUAAUUAUUGUGACAUCCAAACAAAAUCCUUAAUGGAAGUGGAUCUUCAAAUCAUGCAUACUCAGUAAGUAGUCUCUCAAUACUAAGGAUGAUGAUACUAUGAGGAAUAUUGCAGUAUUCGUAUGGCUAUUCCCUUUCAAAGUAGAUUGACUUGAAGUACAUUAAUUUUUUAUCUCUUACCUAGCUAGUGAGCUUUUCGUGGGUGGUGUUCAUUGAAUGCUCGUGUCCUAACAUUACCAAAUUGAGAAUAUAUAGAAGGAGAGUUUAAUGAAUGCAUGCAGUAGCCCACCCAAUAAGUUUCCAAUGAUAGAAUCUCCAAUAAAUAGGGAGAGAGCAUGUAGUUCAUUUAAUUAUAACAAGGACAGCAAAUAAAGGAAGGAGAGAGCUCAAGUUGUUCCACUUUCCUAGUAAGCACUGAAUAGCUUAAAUGGAAGGUAAGAAAUUCUCCUUGAAGUUGGAAAAAGGCUCAGUUCCAUGCAUGUCAAUAGAAGCCCAUUUUUGGGACCUGAGUGCUCAAUUAAUGCAAGGGGAGAAUUUUUGCUGUAAGCGUGAAAGCAAAUCCAUCGAAAACCCUACAAUGCUUGCACAAACAUUCCUUCGUCAACUUCCAAAAGCUAUAAACUUCACCACCCAUUCCAACUCCAGAACUUUUACCAAAGCCACGAAAAAUAAACCACCGAGUUAAUUACACAACCCUAUAAAUAUAUAUAUUUGCAGUAGCUCAAUGAAUGCCCAACCCUCAUCUAUAUAUCCACUCAAUCUAGUAACACUAGCAAAAGAACACCUCCCAUUAAUUUUUCACAUCCCCACUCAAACUUUUACCACAUUAUUCUUCGGGUACUAUGUGAGAAAGAGCUGGUACAUUAAUGUACGUUCUCUGAAGCCAAAUUAACAUGGCCAUGAGAUAGAUUGUGGACCUUGCAAUGCCCACACAUAUAUCCAACCCACAUGAGAACAAACCUGCUAUGCCCUUCCCUACAUGCCACCACGUGAACUAGAGAGAGAGUGUGAACCAUUUAGAGAGAGAGAGAGAGAGAGACAGAGACAGAGACAAAGAAUGCAAAAAAAAAGAGGGCGUUGGUCUCAAGGAGAAAGAGGAGUGCCUUUCUUUUUUCUUUUUUUUUUUUUUAUUAAUUGAAGUCUCAAUGUGAGGAGACCACGGCAGUUUCAGUUCCAUGAGACGGGUUCACGUGGGAGCAGUUCCUCACUGCGGCCCCCUAAGUGACAUGAGCUUUUUCCCUUCCCCUCCCCCUCUCCUCUCCUCUCCUCUCCUAUCACCAAAUGAGAAAGAGCGGAAUCCAAUCCAAAUCCGAAUCCCCACCCCUAACAACCCUAACCCUAACCCUAACCCUGACCCUGACCCUAAUCCCACACACACACCCAAAAAAAAAACAUCCAACGCUAAUGCGAGUCAGUGCACGAGUAACAUCACCUCGAAUCUCUUUCGACAUGAAUGAUGACCCAAUCAUGCACAGAAAAACCCUAAAUGCAAAAUGCAUGAUGAGCUAAUUAUUGUUUAUAGUGAUAUAUAUAUAUAUAUAUAUAUAUAUAUAUAUAUAUAUAAAAUUAAAUUUGUGAUUUAAUUCGAUUAGUUUUUACUAUAGUUUUUUGUUUAUUUAUUUGGGGGAGUACCUGGAGAAGAGGGUGCCGCAGUCGCAGCGGUACUCGCGGGUGCCGCAGGUCUUGGAGUGCGCCUUCCAGUCCGACUGCACGGCGUAGCGCUUCGAGCACUUGUCGCACUUCCACUUCUUCUCGCCGUGCUUCCGGCAGUAGUGCUUCUUGAUGCCGGUGAGGUCGCCGAGCGCGCGCGACGGGUCGUGGUGGACGCACGUCGGCUCGGGGCAGAGGUACACGCGGCGCCGCACCUCCUUCGGGUUCUUCUGCUUCAGCUUCCACGGCAGGUUGUGGCCGCGGCGGUGCAGCUGCAGGUUCUGCUCCCGCUGGAAACCCUUGUUGCACACCUCGCACACGAAGCGGUUUGUCGCCAUCAGCGUCUUCGGCGACAGAGCGAUCACCUCCGCGUCCGGAUCUGAUCAAACGAAUCAUGCCGUAUAUGAUGACAGACGAAUUUCGACAAUUACUCAGAACAAUUGGGCUUGCUCGAGAGCGAUUUGAUUGUUACUCCGCUCUCGCGAAGCCGAAAAGGUCGGGUUUUUUUCUUUCGAAAGAUUUGGCAUGGAGGAAAAAAGCUUCUGAAUGAUUGAUUGGUCUAGUAUUCAGAGAGUAGAACAAAUAUUUUGUUUUUAUGUUAAGUCGUGCCUCUUUGGCACGACUUCUGCACGGCGAGGGUCGGGCGGAGGAAGCUGCGCCAAACAUGCUCUAGUUAGCAAGCGAAACCCAGAUCAUAAUCAGAUAGCUUAUGAAUCUAGGGUUUGUGGGAUUACUCGAAAACACAUGCAAUAGACAUGGAGUGUGGAUACUUGCUUGGAUUUCCCGGUUGGUUCCUCUUCUUCUUCUGAGGAGCCACAGGCUGAGAGCUCCCUGCGGCAGCGGCGGCGGCGGCGGCGGUGGCGGUGGAGCCGAGCACCGAUUGCGAAGAGGGUGGGAGCUGUGGCUGAUGCUGCUGCAGCGGCGGCGGCGGCGGCGGCGGCUGUUGCAUCUGAUUGCGGGGGUCGGGAUCCUCCCGGAUACCGAAGAAGGAGGCAGCGGCGGCCAUAGUAUAUAAUCCAAAAGCAAGGAAAACAACACUUCUCUCUUUUGCCCUUUACGCUUGCUGCUUCUGUGUUGACGGUGUUCUUCUUCUUGGUCCCUUCCUCCAAACGCACUGUUGUUGUUUUGGUUUCUGGUAAUAAGGAAAUAUUGAUCACUGACUAGUCCAAAUCACACAGCUACAAAAGAAUUUUCUCACUACCCAACAUGCAACCAGGAGCUAUAUCUCCCUUUGGUUCUAUCUCCUCACACACUUUCUCUCCCCGCCCCUUGUAAACCUCUUCUUUAAAUCUAAAAGGCAACAAAAACACCAAGAGAGAGAGAGAGAGAGAGAGAGAGAGAGAGAGAGAGAGAGAGAGAGAGAGGAGGAGAGUGAGAGAAAGAAGAGAACAAAACAACCAAGUUUGGAUAUAAAUUUAAAAGGGAGAAGAGAGAAAAGGGGGAGAAAAGGAGGCACAAACCAAUCCAAAAGACCUGAUCUUUCUUUCUCUCCUCUCCUUGGCUUCCUCCUCUCCUUCGUCUCCUUCUUUGAUGUUGGGUUUAGAGACUAAAAAAGGUUUGUUUUAAUGGGUUGGGUUUUUUUUUUUCCUUUUUUUUUCUUUGGAGGUGAGUUGCUUGUCACACUUUCCCUUCCCACCCUAGCUACUAUAUCUGAUGAUUCUCCUUUUCCCUUGUAGCUUCCCUCUAUCAUUCCUCAAACCACUUGCACCACAAUAAAAAAAAACUCAUCAAAAUUCAAUAUAAAUUGGACAAUAGAGAUAGAGAGAGAGAGAGAGAGAGAGAGAGAGAGAGAGAGAGAGAGAGAAGGGGUGGGGGUUGUUUUGAUGGAGUCUCGCGCAGGCAAGUGUGUCGCUAUGUGGCGAGGGGUGGGGCCCAGUGAGAGCUGUAGCGCUUUAUACCCUUCUUCUCUCUCUCUUUGUAACUCUCUCUCUCUCUCUCUCUCUCUCAACGCCUACGUGUCAUACUUGUAUCACAUUAACAAUAAUAAGCGAAUCAUAUUUUUAAAACAAUACAAUACAAAUACUUUUUAUAAUAAUGAACUAACCUAUAAAAAUUGGUUGAAAAUGUCACGUCAUCCAUAUAAUUGGUGCAUUCUAAAAUUUUUCCUCACUCAUUAUGUUAUUACUCAUUUUAUAUAUCUUGCACGAUUGAUUGAAAACUUUACACAUUAUUAAUAUUUAAAAUAAAUUUAAUAAAAAAAAUUAUACAGACAUAUGGUUUACGAUCUUUCUCUCAAACAAAAACAAAAAAAGAUACUAAUAAUAAUCUCUCCUGAUCUCUAUUAUAUGUAUAUAUAUAUAUAUCUAUCUUUUCGUUCUCUCUCUUCCACCUCCUUUUCCUGUUUCGUGUCUCCUCCCCUUGAACAACCGGACAAAAUCCAGCCCCUCGUCCUCCCAAUCAACGUCUCCUUUUGGGUGGGGGUUAAACUCGGAUAGUAAGAUGCACCAACACCUUGCUUUUACGAGUGCAAUGUAACGAAUUAAAUAUUUCUUCUUUUCAUGCAUUUUUGAAAAGAUAUAUGCAUUUACUAUUUGAAAAUUAAAGAUUUAUUAUUUAUCUAAGUAUCAUUCAUGUAUGACUUGUUCCGUAUGUGACUGUUUCUUUACUAUUUGAUUGAAAGAAAUAUUUUGAAUCUAUCUUCUAAUUCCUAGUUUGAAAAUGUGUUGUCUGAAAAAUUAAAAAGCGUUUUAGACAUCUAGUUUGAAAAUAUAUUGUCUCAAAGAUUUGUUCUCUUGUUUUUUUAUUUUUAUUUUUUGAAGAAAAGGAGCUUCAUACCUCUUUUAGCUUAAUUAAUUUGACUCAAAUACAAUUCAUCACCCGUAAAUUUAAAACUUAAAGAUUUACUAUGUGCAAUCUAGUUAUUCCGAGGAAUCAAUAAACUAAAAUUUUAAUCAAAUUCUCUAAAUGUUGUGACACAUGAUAUAUAUGUGAUAACAUGCAUGUUACGAGAAAAAUGAGCUAGGGCGCCCCUCCUAAAGCACCUUAUUGAAAUUAUAUAACAUUACUCAACUUUACAGUUAAAUUUAGCUUCGUGAUUUGCUUAAUGAAUGAAGCAGAUAUCUUGCUACCUAUUUCUCAAAAAAAAAAAAAAAAAAAAUUAGCUUCGUGAACAUUCUGAACUUAAUUUAAAACAUUUGCAAAACACAUUUUAUUAAGAGCAAUGUUACCUCGUACACCUAUAACAUAGGUAUAAGAUUUGCAUCUUAGGCUUUUGAUAGUAAUUAGGAUUUUUCCGAUAGUCCGAUCAUCUUUUUUUUUCUAAAAAAUAAAUGGGUCUUAUAAACACUCCAGAUGUGAGGGUACACCUCUACAUGGGAUGUACAUGUCGCAUUUUUUUUUUAUUAAUUUUCUGUUAUAAUUGCUGCGAUAUCAUCCUUAAAUUGUUCGAUCGAGUCUUUCGUCUCUUUGUAGAGUGGUUUGCGGGAUAUUAAUGUCACCUAAAUUUUUUUUACUAAUUCACAUUUAAAAGACAGGGAAAUAGGAAUGGAGGAAUUAAUCAAAAUGAGCUAAUCAUUUAAGUAGUUAAUUUUUGAGCUUUUUUAAAAGGCAUUUGUAAUUAUUUCAGUUUGAAUAAAAGUUCAGGACAAAGUUGUCCUUUCUUUCCAGUGAUAAUUAUGUGUUGACUACAAUUAGAAAAUUUGACGAAUACAAUAUUAUCUUACAAAUUUUUGUUUUUUUCCCUUAGUUAUUUGAGGAAUUUAAAUCAAUAAUUUACACAUUUUAAAGGCUCUGUUAGUUAUUAGCGAUUAAUUGUUGUGUGAUUGUGUAGUUUAUUUUCUAAAAAAGCAAUUAUAUUCUUUAAAAUUAAUUGAAUUAUCAGUAUAUCUAACAAAAUCUCUAAUAUAAUUAACUAAAUAAAAUUAUUCAAAUUAGAAAAAUUAAAAAUUUAGAAGAUUGAGGGGCCUAUAGUUGAGUGGUCUUUAUAGGUUUCAACCCCCGGGAAAAAAAAAAAGAAGCUUCUUAUUGUUUGUUUAUACCCUCUUUAUGACAGUGUGAAGAACUGUUAGCUUGAUUGAGGUUAAAUCCAAAAAAAAAAAAAAAAAACCAAGAUAACAUUAAAUGUGCCUCAUAAAUAUGCCUUUAUUAGUGUAAGCCAUAAACAAACACAUAAAUGGUAAAUUACAAAUCUUUCUGUUACAACAUUACUUUUCAAGGCUAAGACUCAAUUUUUUUUUUUUUGAUUAAACAGGGAUAUACCCUAUUUGAUAAAAGGCUAAGACUCAAUUUUAUAUAAGUAAUGCUAUGCGAAUGCCACGAAUUAAGCAGAUAGAAGUAAAAUCUAGACUAUAAUUAUUGUUCUAUUUGCAUAUAUACUAUUGUGAUUUGUAUAUUAUAAUUCGCACCAUCCAAAUUUUCUUUCAUCUGCCAAAUAUUACUCUUUAUAUCACAGAAAGUUAAAUUUAUGUCCAAUUACAUUAGCACAAAACAAAUUUUGAAUUAAUAAUCUAAAAUGGUGAAAAAUAAUACUUCUUUUUUGUUUUUUUUUUGAGGGAUAGGUAACACGCUACCCGCUUUCUUUAUUUCAUUUAGAAAUAAACUUAGCUAGAAAUGUGAAUCAACUAGGAUUCGAACUUGUGAAUUAACUAGGAUUCGAAUUUGGGUCUCGGGUACCAAUUAACCACCAAGCCUCUGCCACUUGCUCUAGGAACGGUUGGUGUGAAAAAUAAUACUUCAAUGCAAGUUAAUACCUAUGUUAGUUAAUUCACGAAUUAUUCAUGAAUUAUUGAAAAUCCGAAUUAAACGGCCAGUUUUUGAAUUUUUUCCAAAGAUAGAGAAUUAUUCGCGAAUUUUUGGGCUAGCCGAAUAAUUCGCGAAUUAUUCCCAAAUUAUUGAAAAUAUGAAUAAAAAACAUAUAAUUUUUAUAUUUAAAUAUAAAUUAUCUUAUAUUUAAUAUCUUAUAUUUUAUAUUUUAUACCGAAUCCGUUUUUUAAACCGAAUUUUUCAACGAAUUUAAAAAUUAGAAAACAAAUUUUAUACGUAUUAUACUCGUACCGAAUUUUUGCCGAAUCCGAAUUAACUAACUAUGGUUAAUACUACUCUCUCAAAGACACGAAGUAUUAAACUUACAAAAGCUAGUAUAUAUGUUAUGCAUUUUUCCCUUCUUGUUGCUUCAUGGUAAUUAAAGCAUCCUACGAAGGUCGAGUAGAAAACGCACACGACACAUCAUUCCAUUAGCUGAUGCAGAUGCCGCGAUAGCUAAUGAUAAGCAAGUUUCAAAGAUAUAAUAAUAAUAAUAGAGAAGAUAGAAUAUAAUAUCACAUGACAAGUUUGUGAUAGUUACUCAUAUAAUUAUGAAUUUCAAUGUAUAAGGAAAUCCUCACAAUACAUGUAUAAACAGUUGGUAUAAGCUUUUAGUUCUUUGAAUUUGCACUAUAACAGAAUUAGGUUAUAUGGACACAUGUUUGGGACACUUUUGAGUAAGUGUCUCAUUUAUGCUAAAACUUAAAAAAAUAUCUACUUAUGCCUAAAUAUAAAGCCCAAUCCAACCAAAAAUAAAAGAUUAUUCUACUCAACCCACCACACCCAGUCAAUUUGACCCGAUUACAAACAGAAAAGAAAAAAAAAAAAAGAAAAAUCAAUUACCAACUUUUCUUCUUUCUCACUCAAUUCAUUGAAAUUCUAGACGAAGAGCCUUUCCUGUCGUCCUCCUCCGCCACCGCAGCCAAUGAGAUAGAGUCUCGGCAGUUGCUAAAUGCUUAAAUAAGUGUUGAUAAAUUAACAGCACUCUUUUAGGUUAUAGCGACACUCUUUAACUGUCACUAUAUAUUUAGCCCAUAAUAUAGCAACAUUUUUAAAAGUUAAGUAGUCAUCAGGUAAUUUAUGCUCCAAGCAGCCUGUUUUAUGACAGUGUACUACAUUUAAAAAGUGCGCUUAGACCGUUUUAUCUGUGAGUGUCUGUGGCUCACCAAGUAUUUUAUGCAAUAUUGGUUUUUAACAUACAGAACAGUGAGUUGAUCCGCAUAACGCUUUGGUUAUAAUAUAUCUUAGUUUCUAUUGAAGUUAUAUGAUAUAGGGGGAUAUAGGAGGUUAGUAUGGGGGGUGUAUAUAUAACGAUAUAAGAAUAGUAUAUAAAUUAAAAUAUUAUAUAUAACUAUAAUUAUAUAUAUAUAUAUAUAUAUAUUAUCUCACAUGUUAUUGCCUUUCGCAUUUGGAGUAAGAAAAGAGGUUAAUUUUCUCGCAUUUGGAGUAAGCAAAGAGGUUUAUUUUAUAAACUUAAGACUAGAUAUGGUGAUGCCUGCAAAUAGUAUUAAUGGUAUUAAUUGAUAUGAGUAUUAAUAAGGUGAUCCUGAUCAAUUGUCGGAAAAAAGAGAUGUAAAAUGCAUUUUUCUUACCGACCGUCCCUAAACCAAGUAGCAAAGGGCUUGGUGGUUGAUACCCGAGACCCAUGUUCGAAUUCUAGUUGAUUCACAUUUCAAGUUAAAUUUAUUUCUAAAUGAAAUAGACGAAGCGGGUAGCGUGCUACCUAUCUCUCAAAAAAAAAAAAUAUUUUUCUUGAGAAAAAGAUAUCAUGCUGAAAAACCGAUAUAAAAUAUUAAAAAUGAGAAAUAUGGUUACAUGCUGCUUUAUCAUCCUGUAGAAAAAAGGAAAUAAUAAAUCUAUAAAAGUUACCUAGCUAAUUGUGCCAUAUACGAUGCUUGUCAAAAUUCUUUAAUUUUUGUCUAAAUUAUUUGCAUUAAGUGUGGUAUAUAUAUGAGUACACUUAUAUAUUCUCAGGUUGAAACAGAUCAUAUGAUCUAUGAUAUGUGAUCCCACACAAUCUGAUCUAGAAUGGACGAUCCUGAGCAUGGACCACUGUGUCCUAUGUUGGAAUUGUGAGCAAGGAAUUUAAGCAUUCUCUAUGGGGGCCUUCCUCCAAUAAUCUAAAAAAAUGGAAUUACUACGAAUAUUUUGAAGCAUAUGUACAUGCAAUGGAAAAUUUACAUGCAAUGGUACGUGCAAUGAUUAAAAGGUUAAAAUGAUCAAAGAACAUACGGUAUAUAUGCAAUAUAUCAUUUUCUCACUCUUUCUGUGGGAAAAACUCUUACUCUUUAAUUUGCUCUUUCUUUUGGAUAAAACCUUUGGACAUUUUUUUUCUUGGAAUUUCUAUAGUAAAGAUAUUAUUUGUUCUGCACUCAACAAAAAAACUAUUAUAUUAGCGUAAUACUAGCUCUACGUAUGUAAAAAAUUAACUGGACGGUCAUAAAAUUUUCUCCGAACAAUUGGGUUUUGAUGAAAUGAAUUUUCUUCUUUCGAAUCAAAAUCUAGAUCAGGGCAAGACAAUACAAUUCGAUCAAACAAAUGAUCAAGUUAUCGUAUCGAUCGAGUUUUCUCUUAGGAGUUUGCAUGCAUACCAAAGCUGGACUUUCACAGGUUCUUUUUCAUUUUUUCACUGCAAAUAAUCUGUUUUGAUGAAGAUAUAAACUAUCUCUAAGAUUUUAAUUUUUUGAACUUGAAUAAUAUAGAUUUGAAGUUCUAAAUUUAUUUAAUAUAGUUUUUCUUUCUUAAAUUAGUUGUACAGCAAGUGAAAACCAAUCGGGUCCGAACAUGCCUUUCAAAACUAGAUCCAGAUUCAAGCACAGGAUAGCAUCCAAAAUCCGAAUCGUUGUCGGAUUCGUACACUGUGGAUAAUCAUUAUAUAUUGUCCGACCCGCUUUAGAUUUGAACCUGGAAUUUUACUGUGCACUUCCAUGUAACUAAACAAUAUUUCUUUCUGGUUGGGCCAAACUGUUAAUAUAUAUAUAUAAUUAUUCUAUUAUACUAUGGAUAGUACCAAGUGUUUAGUAUUAUCGACUUUUCAGCUAUUGAAUGAAUAUAUAUAUAUAUAUAUAUAUAUAUAUAUAUAUAUAUAUAUAUAUAUAUAUAUAUAUAGUGGGCUGGUAUGCUUCUAGAAGCACGGAAGGCUCCGUGCUUCCAAGUUGUUUUCGAUGUUCGGACUUUCGAAUCGACGAUCGGCUCCGUAAGAGUUGAUCUAGAGUAUUUGAAGUACCUAGAAAAUACAUUUUGUAAUUUUUCGAUAUCAUUAAUUUGCCUAGUGAUCGAAGGGGCUUAAAAUCAAUAAUUUUAAUGGCCGUGGUGAGCCGUUUGCAAAUUUAACGGUGUAGAAAUAUCCAAAUCAUAUGAAAUUUUGAUAGAAAAUUUUUUAUACCAUAUAAAACAAGAUCACUAACUUUGAUCUAAAAUUUUAAUGUCAUAUCAUCAUAUUUUGUAAGAUUUUUAUUUUCAGCCGUUGAUUUUGAGCCACUUCGAUCACUAGGCAAAUGAUAUCGAAAAAUCACAAAAUUUAUUUUCUAGAUACUUCAAAUACUCUAGAUCAAGUCUAACGGAGCCGAUCGUCGAUUCGAAAGUUUGAACAUCGAAAAUAACUUGGAAGCACAAAGCGCUCCGUGCUUCCAAAAGCAUACCAGACGCACUAUAUAUAUAUAUAUUGGACCUGUUUCUUCUAAUGUAAUUUUAAUUUUCUCCUAUUUAAUUCAAGUUCACAUCUUGAGCCUAUCAAAAAAUGUCGAAUUCAGACAUAAAGGGGAUUGUUGAAUAUAAAUAUUAAAACAUAUUAUUUUUUGAUAGCUUAAGAUCUCAUUUGGUAUCGUAUUUGUUUCUUAUUUUUUUUAAACACUAAUUUUACAUAAUUUGUUGUGUUGGAAUAAAAGCUUUCUUUCGCUAACUAGCUUACAAUACAUCAGACCAAAUAAUAGAUAAUAACUUAUUUAAAACAAUUUUUAAAACCAAAAAAUGGUUACUUUUAAAUUUUUAUUUUUUGUUAUCCACUAAAUAUUUCGGAUGGAAUAGUUACAAUCAAUCCACUGUCUACUUCUAUGCUUUUUGAUGUACAGAAUUUUUUUUUUAAAUAAAAAGCAAAUACGAUGCGAAACAAGACCUAAGUUUUUGGAGAAUAAUUAAACAAUUAUUUUAUACAAUUCGGCCAUUGAAACUAGUGCUUACAAUUCAAUUUGUUAAUUUGGGGGAAUGAGAUGGACACUUCCUAUAGUCUGAGGAAUUUCUUUCACCAAUAUAUAUAAAUCCCAACAUCUAAAUAUUCCCUGACAUAGAAACAUCACCAAACCUUAACAAAAAAAUAAUGCAAAAACAUUCCUUAGACCCUCCUUAGCUUUUUUAUUUUUAUUUUUUCCGCAGGAAACUAGAAACUAUUACUAUAUUACUCUCUCUUGGUGACCUAACGACAUUAUUUAUGACAUACUUUUGUCCUAACAUUCCUUGUUUGGUAGCGUCUCGAUAAAAUUACUGGUCACAUGUCCCGAAAAGUUCAAAUUAUUAGAGAAUUAUUUUGUCUAUUUAUAGUGUGUAUAUAUAUAUAUAUAUAUAUAUAUAUAUAUAUAUAAUAGUACAUGACAUGGCACGAAGGACUUGGGUUAGAUCCCGUGAAUUCAUCCAUUAUUGAGAGCUCGGAUAUUCAAGCUCUUGUUAGGUAUAUAAUAGUUUAUUUUUGAAACGCUGUAUAUAAAGGCUGAGUAAAUUUUAAAAAGGGUUAAAAGGCCAAUUCCAUUCUAAUACUUCUUUUAGGGAUAAUUUGAUGCAGUUUCUUGUAAAGAGUCAUCCUCCCAAAUUUAUCCGAUAAAGUUUAAGUUAUCAGAUUUAUUUUUUUAAAAUUUUUUUUGUUAUUCAAAUAUAUCUCUUAGGUUAAUUUGUUGCCGUUAGUUUUUUAACAGUAAAUCUAUAAAAUGACCAUUUUGCUAGUACAAAUUUGUCUCUCCAAAAAAUUCCAAUGGGCAAUGCUGGCGAUCGAGCUUGCUGUGGAUCUCGAGCCACAAGUGGCAAAGUGAGAUUUGGCGCAAAAGGAGAGAAGAACGAAGAUGUUCCUCUCACCUCCGCAGUUGAUGCUGACAUUGAAGACGGCAGAGACGACGACUACGCUCUUCUCAACUUGGAUUACAAUUAAAUAUGUAUAUAUAUAGAAUUAGGCUGAAUUACUAUCGAUCGAUAGCACCAGGCGCUUGGUGCUAUUAGGUUUUCUGCUCUUAGAUAAAAAAAAUAUACAGUUAUGAUGAUGUGGCUCCCCUAGGGUUGAGUGAGUUAUUGGUUGAAUAGUAUAAUCCAACGGAUAAAAAUAGUUAAAGAGUUAAACUUAACAAUAAAAAAUUCGAUAGCACCAAGUGUUUGGUGCUAUCGUAGAAUAUCACACCAAACUAUAUAUAUAUAUAUAUAUAUAUAUAUAUAUAAAAUACCUCUAAACUAACUAUCGCUAAAUAUUUCUUCUGUAAUUAAUUAUAAUUUUCUAAUAAAUACUAACUGCAGGAAUAUUUUUGUAAACGGCAUAACUUUUACAAGAGUAAAUAUGAUAAUUUAAAUUUUGUAGGGAUACAUUUAGAAAUUAAGACACCUCUUACAAAAAGCCGUAUGAAAUUAUCUCAUUGGUUAACAUUUAAUUGUUGUUAAACAAACUUAGGGUAUUAUAAUUCUCUUGGUACGAGGCAGGUCAUUAUCAUAUGAUGAAUUAAAAAGACCCAAACCUUUUAACCAAACCUAUCUAAUCCAAUCUAAGUUCGGACCCACCAUUCGAACCUGGGCUCCGAUUUAAAAUAGUUCAAUAAAUCUGUAACCAAAUAUUACUUUUUUGUUUUUCUUUGGGUCUCAAUUGCUAGCAUAGUAGAUAAACCUAUCAGUUGUAAAUAAUAGUGUUAGGGUGUUAAUACGGUAUGUACAUUCCGAGACACAAGGAAUACAUUUUAAUUUCCUCUCGCCCCUUAGAAGUAUUAAAAUUUUUGUNCUUCUAAAUACAGCUGUUUAAAGAAAACAAAAGUUAAUACGGUAUGUACAUUCCGAGACACAAGGAAUACAUUUUAAUUUCCUCUCGCCCCUUAGAAGUAUUAAAAUUUUUGUAUCACUUAUAUAUGUACUUAAUUAACUUUUGUUUUCUUUAAACAGCUGUAUUUAGAAGCUAAUUAAAGCCAAUAUGGUGCUAAAUUUUAAUCUAAACAAAGUACUAAAUAUCAAUGCUUCUUUUUGGGUCUAGCUAGGUUGUUGGUUGGUUGGUUUGGAGUUAAAAAAAAUAAUAAAAAAACGAAUAUCAUACUCCUUUUUUUUUUGUUCCCGCGGCUAUGUACGACUAUUACCAAAGCAUUGACCUCAGUCAAAUUGUAUGACUACGAAAUGGUGAAUUAAUUUAAGCACCGGGGCUCCGGACCAUAGUCUCAUUUUUCAACUUUAAAAUGUUCAAAUUAAUUAUUCACACAUUUACACAGGAUCUAGGAUAUAUAAAAUUUAUAGGAAUAAAAUUUUAUAUUUUUUCAACAUCGUUUAUUUAGUAAACAAAUCAUAUCAAAAUGAAAGGUAAAAUUUAAACAAUUUUUAAUAAAUUGAUGAGGAUAGAGCUUCUAAAUUCAAGAUCCAGAAUGUUGAUCUCGAUAUUCUAGAUAGUUUAAAAUAUUUUUUAUCAAAAUUUGAAUGAAUUUAAAUUCUUCUACAUCGAUUGUUAAACUACAAACUCGUUAUACUAGUUAUUGAAAAUUAGUAACAUUGAAAUGGUUGAUUAUUAAGUAAACAAUGUAAAAAAACAUAUAAAAUUUUAUUCUUAAAAGGUUUAAAUAUUUUAGAUCAGUUUUAACGGUGUCGAUCAUUAUUAGAAACAUUCUAAGAUUAAAAAUGAGACUCGUACGGGAGCUCCUCUUCUAUUAAUAGUAUAGUAACCAUGCUCUAUCUCUCGCUCUAUAUAUAUAUAUAUAUAUAUAUAGAGAGAGAGAGAGAGAGAGAGAGAGAGAGAGUUUGAUUGGGUUACUAUCGGUAGUAAACUGUUUGGUUUACUACCGAUUUGUUUUUUAUGAUAGAGCUUCCAAAUCGACGAUCGACACCAUUAAACAUGAUCUAGACUAUUUAAAUUAUCUAGAAAUCAAGUUUAAUGAUUUUUUGGCAUCACUAACUGAACGAUCAAAGAAUCACAAAAUCUAUAAUUUUAAUAGCCGAUAUGGUGCGUUUGCUCGUUUAACGGUAUAGAAAAGUUCAAAUCAACUAAAUUUUUGUUAAAAAAUUCUUUAAACUAUUUAAAAUAAGAUCUAGACUCUAAAUCUCAAAUAUAAAAAUUGUAUCAUCACUUUUUGAAGGAUAUUCAUUUCCAGCCAUUCAUUUUUCUGUUCACUUGAUGGACAAGAGAACAAUAUCAAAAAUGUGUGAAAUUUGAUUUUCAGAUAGUUUAAAUAGUUUAGAUCAUAUUUAACGGUGCCGAUCAUUAAUUUGGAAGCUCUAUCAUCGAAAACAAAUCGGUAGUAAACCGAUUCGUUUACUACCGAUAAUAUUCUAGCACAACUAUAUAUAUAUAUAUAUAUAUAUAUAUAUAUAUAUAUUUUCAUGGUAACUCAUUCCAAAUUUAAUUCAUCGGAUGAGUUCUGUACUAUUAGAUAAGUUUAUAUUCAAAAAUCAUAAACUUUGAAGACUUAUUUAAUUUCAUGAAACAAUCAAUAUUUUUAAUUCAAAUUUUGAAACUACUUAAUUUUUAAGGAAUAGAUAUGUAUAAUAAUAUCUACCGGACUAAAUAUCACGUUAAAAACAUUUCUUAAUUAUUAGUAGGUGUUCUUGGCCCCUGCGAGGAUAAAGAAAAUGGAAGGUUAGAGUAUUAUUAAAUUAGGGGAGAGAUCGAAAGGGACGUGAAAAUUUGCUUGAAAUAUAUUCUGUCUCGUCCUUGUCGAAUCUUAGAAGAAAUUAGGUGGACGUGGACGUGAGGGUUUAAUUUACUUAAAUAGGAGGGGUUAAUUAAACUAAAUAAAUAUAUGUAUAUAUAGGCCUUGAUUUUGUGAUCUCCUAACUUGUAUUAAUUAGGUUUUACUCUAAUAAGGGGCUUUGUCAUAACACUGUGGGAGAUUCUUCAGGUGGGGUCUUAAACCUUGUACAUGAUUGAUUAAUUAGCUCCUUCACAUUCUCUCGCUAUCUCUCUCUAUCUCUCUCUAUCUCUCUAUCUCUCUCAAUGUGUGUGUGCGCGCGCGAUUGCGCCGAGCACGAUGCACGGGUUGUGUUAGGGGUGGCAAUAUUGACCUGAGCCGAUUUGUAGUCGACUAAACCCAAACUAAGCAUUUAACAAGUUUGGGUUCAAAUCAAGAGAAACUUUUCUCUCUCUCUCUCUCUACAUGCAUGCAUGUGUUCAUACAGCUUGCCCGUGACACACGAGUUGGGUUGAGGAUGGCAAUAUUGACCCGAAACUGUCGGGUCAAAAUAACCUGAUCCAACCCGUUUAAAAUGAUCAUAUCGUUGAAUAAAACAGUUUGGUACGCGUCAAGAGAAAGUGACCCGCUCUGAUCAUUAUAUCAAGUAAGAAUUGGGCACAUACGAUCUAAUAUUUUAUCAUAAUUUGCAUUUUAGUGCAGAUCGUACCUACCUGAUGGCUUGCUAUUUUUCUCUCAAAUUUUGUAUAUAUAAUUUGCAUUUUAGUGUUUUGCCACCAAAUUAGAGGGCUGAUCUUAUGGUAAAAUAAUCAUAGGUUCGAAUUAGCACUCUCUUUGGAAAACUAAUUAAAGUUUAUCAUAAUGUGUAACUUUUUAUGACUUUGGUAAUUUUGACCACUGCUCAGAUCUGCCGCUAUUAGAAAUGUGGAUGGCAGUUAAUUAUUGAUCUGAGGAUUAGCCAAAGCUUAAUUAAAUCUCAUUUAAAACGUUUUUCUAGACGGAAAAAGGCACCACUUUGCUGUAUGUCAAAGUCUCUUUUUGUAACCAAUUGUAGGAGUAGAUCGAGCUACUAUACUAUUAGGAUUACAACAGUUUUUGUGCUCCUAAUUUUCUAACUAUUCAUCAAUUUUGAUUGGUGGUUAAUUAGGAUGAGAGAGAAGAGAAAUUAAAGAGGAACUUAGAAAGAAGAGAAAUUACGCCAUCCAAUUUAUUCCCAAUUUUUCUUCUCUUUCUCACCUUAACCAUCCAUCAAAAUUGAUGAAUGGCUAGAAAGUUAAAAGCACAAGGGCUGCUGUGCUCCUAAUAGUACAGUAGCUCUACUCUCAAUCGUACUUUGUGUUUUUUCUAAAGAAAAAUUCAAGUUUUAGAAGAAAGAAGGCAUGCAUGUUUUUCCAGGGGAAAAAAAAAAAGUUAUUUAACUUGUUGCUUAUGAACUUCUAGCUAGUGUCUUAGUUAGUGUGCUGGAGCAAGCUCCUAAUUGUUACAAAAGAAAUUAACUGAUAAGAAAAUGGCUCAGAAUAUAUAGCAGUAAUCAUGCAUUUCAAUUCAGAUGUCCAUCUGAAAGGCGUAUCCAUGAUCUCUCUACAGGGCUUAUUGGCGGACCUUUGAACUACCAUGCAUUAAUUGGUGUAAAUCGAUCUUAUCUUCUAAAUGGACGGCAUAUCAUUGUCAAGAAUUCACAAAAACUUUCUCUACAUUGAGGCUACGAAUAGUCUAUACCUCUUUCGUCAUACUUCUUAUGUAGAUAAAGAGGAAAAAAAUUAUUGUAUUUCUCUUUUAAAAAAAUAAUUAGCUUGAGAUAUAGAUGAUGUGAUGCAAAUGCUAUAUAGAUAUAUAUAUAUGUAGAAGAUCACCUCCAAUUAAUUAAUAUUAAUAUCUAUAUACAUAUACAUAUCAAUACUAUUAUCAAGGGAAAAACCAUCCUUUUUCUUUGUCUAUUAUAUUCCAACGGAAUCCUACUAUAUAUCUACGUACCUACUAGCCAAUGAAUAUUUGGACGUAGCAUCCAAGGACAGCGACAUUGCACCUUUCCAUAUGCCUUCAUCAAAUAUAUAUCACCCUCUCUCUCUCUCUCUCUCUCUCUCUCUCUCUCUCUCUCUCUCUCUCCAUGUAAAGUCGACAUAGGUAUAGGAAAACGAUGCAACACCUCUUCGUUUCUGUCUGUAUACAUCCUCAUCCUCUCUCGAUCAUCUCAGUUCAUCAUGUGCUUUUUUGGUACGGAGCGGAGAUGAUGCAUCAACGUUUCGCGAGUACCAGCUACAUAUUAAUUUGUGUGCAUGACGUACUCGGAAAGGAAAUGGGAUCGGGUUUCCCGUACAACACAGCAACCCGCUGGGCAAGGACAAGCUCGUCCCUCUUACCCUUUUUUUCCUCUCAAUGAUUCCCCUUUUGAUUGUUCUUUCAUGUCGCGUUUUAUUCCCGAUACAAGUAAAAAUUAUUUAUUUUAAAAAUAAAUAUAAGUUUAAAAGUAAAUAAAAAUUAGAUUGGUUUUAUAUUUGAAUAAAAAUUAAGUUGUUGCUAGGAAUAAGAUAAAUAGUAUCUGGAUGCAUGAUUAGAUUGGAACAAAAAGAAUAAAAAAAUUAUAAUUUUAAGUUAAAAUUAUUUUAUCUAAUUAAUUAACAUCAAAAUAUUAAUUAGAAAUAGUUUUUAGACUUUAAUUAACCUUGUUCCCACCUCAGAACAAGCUUGUUUCAAGAAAAAUGGUGGAACGGCAGUUCCAGCCUUAUACCAGCUUAUUUUUAAAAAUUCGAGAACUACUAUUCUCUGGUACUAAACACGACGUUCGGGAACAAAGGGGAGAACAAAAACUUAUUCUCUCCUUGUUCCCGCACCAAACACUGCCUCAAUGUCCAAAUGAUUGUCCAAAUAGGGACAUGGCCAUAUAGUUUUAGAUGCACAUGAAUUUUCUGUACAUUUUUUUAUACAAUUAUUCAUCCAAAAUUUGUGGAUGAUGAUCAAACAAGCUGCCUCGAAGUUGAAUCUGGCGGGUUAGAUGGUUCCUUCCUGCCAUUUAUCACACGAUUAGGUCAAAGCUCACGUCUUCCAUGGGUAAACAUUUUUUUAUGCUGGAUUUUAGAGGCUUUUGUAUCGAAAAUAAAGUAAUAUAUCGAUGUUUUGAUAAUUAAAACUAGUUUUAGCAUAUUUAUUGAGGAAAAAGUAGCUAGUUAUAUGUUUCAUUUAUUAUGGAAAAAUAAAUUUAGCAUCGCUAGUGAAGGCAACCAUGGCCUUUGAGGAACGAAACAAGAUCACGACAAAAAAGGAAAAAAAAAGCUCACUGAUGCAUCUAGAAUUCUAAGACUAUCUAAUACAUGUACUAGUGAAGCACUUCCCAAGAACUCAAAAGUUGACUGAUAUUCUUAAGAAGAAUUGUUGAUAAGAUUCUUAUCUUAGCAGAUCACGUUGUUUCGCUCGAUCCAGAUUUGCCACCACAAGGAAGAUAGAAGAGCAAGUUCUUUGGUCCACUUUUGUUUAUCUUGAAGGUCGAGUUACUUUGCCUACAUUCCUCUACCAUCUUUCAUGGGUUGUAAGUUUGGAAGCCUAUCGUCGAAGCAAAAGAUCGAGCAAGUAUCUGAUGAAUAAACAUCUAUGAAAAGGGUGGUUACAAGUUUCUUGGUUGUUAGCACAUGCAGAAUUGUUCGAUCUCCUCACCGGCCACAAUUUUUGAAGAAUGUCUGCGGCCAUGACUCUUUUCCUGAGAAUCGGUCAUACAAGGAUUUUGAUUUUAACACGCAUUUUUUGUUCCCAAAUUCGGGAGCUCAAAUGGCCCCUUGAGCUCUUCGUCUGAGAGAAAGUUGUACGGGGACUUGACGGAGAAGUGCAGGGUUAACAAUACAUAUUGAGGAAUAGGUUUGCUGAAUCUGGUUAUUAUUAUAUUGAGUAGUGCAAUAAGUGCUCCAAAAAUAUGUUUUUUUUCCUUGUUUUUGAAAAAUGCUGGAGUCCUUGCUAUGUCUAUCUCCUAUGUAUACUGAUCAGCUGAUGUAAGGGCUUAUGAGUAAUGAACAUAUCAAUAUGCUAGUAUUUGUACACCGCAUAGAUACACUACUAAAAAUUCAUUCUUUUAAUUUCCAACAAUAAAUACUGUUGCAAUUGUUAAUUAUUAAUCCUAUAAUAAUUUUUUGCAACAAACAAGAAUUAUUGCUAUAAUCUUAUGAUAAUAUGUGACUAAAUAAUAUGAUUUGUAUUAUCACUACCGGAUAAACUGUUGCAAACGAAAUAUAUUUCACAAUAAUUUACUUUUUGAUGUAAUUAAAUUAAUAUCUAAUAUAAUAAAAUAGGUAACUGUACUUUAGAAGUACAUUUUGAGAUAAUAUAUAUCAUAGGGUCAACUUUAAUCGAUAUCCUCAGCUGAUUUUGGCAGAAACAUAUAUAUAUCCAAUUAAUUAAAACGGAGUAAAAUUUGGGUAACUGUAAAUUAAAAUUAUUAAAAUCUUACUGUAUUUUCUCAAAGUGCCAUUUUUGAGAGGUCCUCCAUACAUUUCAAAGUUUAAAAAAAAAAAGGAAAAAAACGUAGACAAUGACACGUGCUGGAAACGAUGGACUUAUCCGGUGCACUGUAGCUAUCCAGUAAUUUGGGAUGUAGCGCAUAUGUGUACGCCUUAUGCCAGCUUAGUAUACAAUGAUAUAAUAUCUAUGAUGAUAGAAAUACAAUAAUUUUAUUAUUAUUAUUAUUAUUAUUUAAACAAGUAUAGGUCCCACUCCACAUAAAAUUUGCAUAUCUAGUCACAUAUACAGGAACUAAUUAACUCCCUCCUUUAAAAAAGAGGCGUGCAGGGAUCCAACUUCCGACCUCUUGGUUCGCGAUCAAGAUACCAGACAACUGCACUAGACACUGAAGAUGUAAAAAUUUACUUGGACUCACUCACCAGUUGAGAAAUAAACGAGCUGGGGAGAGAGAGAUUCGGCUAAGUUAAACUAAAUUAUUAGACCUAGAUUGAUAAAUCUGAUCUGACUGAUACGAUGCAAAGGAUGAUAUUUUUAUUGUGUUAUUUUGGAAUUUAAAUGCUGCUCUUUAACUAUCAAACUUUAACAAAUGACACAAAACUCUUCGCAUUUUUCAAAUAAAAAAAUUGAGAAAGUAUUAAUGCAAAAUAGUUCCUCAACUUGGUUUUUUUAAAAAUUUUUUGAGGAGAAAAUUGGUCUAUUACUGAGGGUGCUCCAUAUGUUAUUCCACUAAAAAAAAUAACCAUCCGGUUUUUAAGCGCUUUGAGGUCUUUUGUGGGCGACAAAACACAUCAAAAAAAAAAAAAAACGAAAAAAGAAAAGUGAAAGUAAACAAAAAAAAAAAUGUUAGAGUUACUUUGCUUGGUGUCAUUUCAAAUUUGACUUGAGAGUUGCGCGGGAAUAGCAAAAACUUAUGCAAUCCCUUAUCGUAUUAGAAAGAUUCUGUCUCUUUAUAGUAUUAUGUUGUCGGGGAUGAUGAUCAUUGGAGCUUGAUGAUGUUGGAAUAAAAAAAAAAGAAAAAGAAAAUAAAAUUAAAACAAAACGCAGAGGGGGUCCACAAAAAAGGCCAAUUAGUACCUGCACCAGGUGUGCCCCGUACACUCCGUACACCGCUACCCACCAUUUGAUGAUUAAUAGAAUUAAACUUUUGAUUCUACAAAUACAAUUUAUAUUAUUAUUAAAAGAGUCUAUCGUACGUAUGUAUGUAUGUACGUACGUAUGUAUGUAUGUAUGUAUGUAUGUAUGUUUGUACGUAUGUAAGUGUAAAAGAAAUAUAUUUUUUGAAAACUUGUUAUGUUGGAAAGGGAAUAUAUAUGAUUUCUAGUGUGUAUUUAAAAUGUUAUAAAACAACAUGGAAUAAGUUAGAUUCUAAUUUUUUUUUCUUUUUUUUUUUUUUUUUUAAGACACGCUACCCACUUCGUUUAUUUUAUUUAGAAAUAAACUUAACUGAAAAUGUGAAUCAACUAGAAUUCGAACUUGGAUCUCGGAUACCAACCACCAAGCUCUUUGCCACUUCCUCUAGGGAUGGUCGGUAGAUUCUAGAUUUUUUACAGUAGAAUUUAGGGGGUUUUUAUAUAUGAAAUGAACUUACACUCCCUGUCUAGGCAAUAAUUUCACCCAAAGAAGAUAAAGGAAAAGGAGCCCACAAUCACAAUUCAGUGAUUCACGAGGGGCUUUUCCAAUCAAACCUAAAAGAUGAGGUGGGGCCAUAAUAAUUAAUAAUAAAAAAUCAAAAAGCCAAGGACCUUUUUCUGCUUUAAAGCUGGAGAAACUGCCCUUAGAUUUCCUAACAGGUAGGGGAUGUUCUUAUUGUUGUCUCCUCUCAUGGAUUUAACCCCUUGGGCUCACUCACUCAACACUCAACUCCCCUUCCUUAUUAUUAUAUAUAAUAUAACNCUCUCUCUCUCUCUCUCUCUCUCUCUCUCUCUCUCUCUCUCUCUCUCUCUCUCCAGUUUACUAAUGGGGCCAAUGUGUUGUCCUCCUGUGGGUGUCCCUACUAUGGAGUAGAUUCCCACAAUCCCCUAUGUAGGGACCUGGUAACAGUGCAUUGAAUGGUGCCAUGCUUCUUACCUGUAACAGAUAUUUUAGACAGGAUUUAUAGGAUACUAGUGUGAACCAUGUGAGAUUGGGUGAAGAGUCUAUUAAAAAAUAAUUUGAUUCAUACAAUUAGCUAGCUUUAUGUUAAAUGAUGUCCAAAUUAGAAAAAAAAAAUGUCGUUUUUGUAAUUUUGUGCAAUACGAAAAGUUACUUUUGAUCGACCGUCCCUAACACAUGCAGAUGGGAAAGGACUUAUUGGUUAGUAUUCAAGAUCCUAAAUUCGAAGCCUAAUUACUUUAUAUUUUCGGUUAGAUUUAUUUUUAAAAAAAUUGAACGGAAACGAAUAGAAUGCUACUUUUCCGCACGAAUGCUUGUCUAUGCUGGGCCUUAUUUAUCACUGUUAGGACUUGGUGUCUAUUUGAUGGUACAUUUGCUUUUGCUUCAACGACAGCCACAUCUAGUUAAGUACCUGGUAAUCAAAACUAUUUGAAAAUUCUACUGCCACAGCAAAAAAAAGUAAAAAUAACAUUUUGCGCUCUAAAAAUAGAAGUUUCAAUUUGAAACUUUAGUUCUACUGCAGAAAUAACUUAUAAUUAAGAAGAUUAUUAGAGUACCUCUAAAAGAUCUCGGUUCCCUUAGGGCUGAACUUGUUAGAAAAAACGCAACGCUUCAUUUGAACAACAUUAAUUGCACCCAACAUUAGGGCCAAACAAAGUACGUAGGUGGUGUUAGAUAGUUCAGGUCUAGUCCAAGCCCACACGAACCUAAGAAAUAACCUAUCUAGUGGAACUUAUCCAACUCAAAAGCUUAAGCAUGCAUAUCAACAUUCUCUUAUUAAUUAUCUGACAUGGAAAUAUUCAUAUAUGAAUUACUAACAAAGACUUUAUAUCUAGAAAUAAAAUACAGCAAUGUAAACUAAUCAAACCUUCGAUCUUAAAAGGGCCUACAAUGCUUGCCAGAAAGCACAAGCCAGUAUGUGAGCUUUUGCUGUCGGAUUUUCAGACUUCAUAAGAAGCUAAAAUUCUAAACUUCGCCAGAGCCAAAACACCACUUCUGAUCGUGCAGAAGCUGGGCUUGGUGGUUGGUACCCGAGGUUCCAAGUUUGAAUCCUAGUUGAUUCACAUUUUCAGCUAAGUUUAUUUCUAAAUAAAAUCAACGAAGCGGGCCUUAUGUGGGCGGAGCCUAUAAUGAAAUGGGCCUUAAAUGAUAUUGAUUUGGACCGGGCUUCUCACAACCCGUCGCAAUCGUGGUUGUGACCGCAGAGAUUACCGGAGAAAACACGACCAAGCCUGCGCCGAAUCUGGGCCUUGCAUUCAUUUUAAUCAUGUUUACAUCGGACGAGCGUCGAUUAAGUUGGGCUAAGAGUCGUUGUUUAAAGCUUCGGGCCCUGCAUUCUUGUAUUAUGCAGGCUUUAAUUUUUAUGGCCCGAUCCCAUACAUACACUGUUGCAACGCCCCACAAUUCUAUUCUCUUUCUAAGAUUCUCUUCCCUCAUCAGAGUUGAUUUCAAUUAUUACAAUUUACAAAUGCUUUUUGCACAAUCGUCCGAGCGGUAUUGAGGAGCAUCUAAUGCAAUUGGGCGAAACAGAGUUAGAGACACGGCCAUAUAGAGGUAUACUUCUCCUUUUCCUAUAAAAAUUAGAGAAAUGAUGUUGUCAUCGACUCAUUGCGAUGUGCGUAUCGUGAUAUUACAGACAAAAAUAAGCAGAGCAUUUUUUCAUCGCACCACAACACAAUAUACUCACAAUCGUAAAUAGAGACUUAGAGGGAUCAUGCAUCAUAUUAAAAAGUUUUUUUUUCUAGAUUUAACAUUUUAUUUUAUGACAAAUUUAGAUUGGUUGGGGGUUUCGACACCAUUGGUUGGAUGAUUCCAUGAGCUCAGAGUAUUAAAAAAAAAAAAAAAAAUGGGGCUUAACGGGCCCAGAUUUGCCCAACAAUAAUAAACUUUGUUGGAGGCUUUUGCUUGAGGCUUAAUUAGGGCCUGAAAUUGUGAAACAGGCCUAGUUGGCCAAGGCCCAGUUCACACAUUACCAUCCUUUUUUUUUAUAUAUAUAUUUUUUACUUUUUUUUUCGGGGAUACUUAUAAUUCACGGGAAAAUUAUUAAUAAUCCUCAUCAUUAGACACUAACUUACAAUGGAAGCUAGGUUUGGACAAGUAAUAAUUGAGACCUACAAUUUGUGCAAAUACUGGAAAAGAUUAUUGGCAGCUAGGUCAGUAUCCUGUCUAUGAAGUGGAAAUUGAAUUGGACUAAAUCACAAUUGAGAUUCGUAGGUGAUAUAUUUAUAUACGUUAAGUAAAUUAGUCGGCUCUUUUCUAACAACUCGAGCUUCCCGGAUUUAGGUCAAUGCCGACGAUCCAACACCAAUAAUGAGAAAUCCCACUUUCUUAGCACCUACAAGAAAUUAGAAAAAUGCUUAGACUUCCUAAUCCUAACUAAUAUUAAAGCUAGCUAUGUUAAUUAUGCCCUUUCUCAUUGCAACUUCUUUGUAAUUCUCUCUUCAUCUUCCAGUAAAUGAAAUGAGAAUCUAGGUCACUUCUCUUCAUUGAGUAAAUACUUAGAUGUAAAUUAAUUUAUUAGAAACAUUAAUUGUAUGAAACAGCUUUGUCAUUCUCAAUGAGUAAAUUAAUUGUCUAGUUUCAUUAGAGAAAAGAUUUAAUAGAACCUACUUAGGAAGUUCUCUUACCAAAAAUGACACAUUAAAGUUUAAUAUCUUAUCGAAGCUAGAUAGUUGUUUUUUUUUUUUGGCUUGACUAUGAAAAUUUUAUAUAAAUCUCUGAAAUGAUCAACACAACAUGCAUUCUCUUCACGAGUCAACGACCUUCGCUCUUAAAAUUUGAUUAUUACACUUCAAAGUCAACGUCAAAUUACUCGCGCGAUCAAGUUUGGAAGGAAAAGAGAAUGGAAUUCAAUGUGUAUGAUCUAGAAAGAAAACACCUAUGGUAGUCAAAUAAGUGAAAAGAUUUAAUAUAUAUGUAUAUAUAUAUAUAUAUAUAGAGAGAGAGAGAGAGAGAAUAGGGCUACUAUAUAUAUAUAUAUAUAUAUAUAGAGCAGGGCUGCUGUGCUCUCAGGAGCACAGAGGCCUCCGUGCUCCUGAGCCGUUUUCGAUGAUGGAAUUUUCGAAUCGACGAUCGGCUCCGUUAGACUUGAUCUAGCGCAUUUGAAGUUUCUAGAAAAUAAUUUCUGCGAUUUUUCGAUAUCAUUUACCUAGUGAUCGAAAGGAUUCAAAAUCCAUAAUUUUUAAUGGUUGAUAUAUGCCGUUUUCAAGUUUAACGGUGUAGAAGUAUUCAAAUCAGAUGAAAUUUUGAUAGAAAAUUCUUUAUUCUAUCUACAACGAUUCUAAUUUGCUGAUCGAAAUUUUAGUUCUAUAUCACACUUUUUAUAGGAUUUUAUUUUCAGCCGUUAAAAAUUAUUGAUUUUGAAUCCUUUCGAUUGCUAGAUAAAUGAUAUCGAAAAUUUGCAAAAAUUUAUUUCUAGAAACUUUAAAUACGCUAGAUCAAGUUUAACGGAGCCGAUCGUCGAUUCGAAAAACUCCAUCAUCAAAAACGGCUCAGGAGCACGAAGGCCUCCGUGCUCCUGAGAGCAGCAGCGCUGCUCUAUAAUAUAUAUAUAUAUAUAUAUAUAUUAUAUUAUAUAUUAUAUAUAUAUAUAUAUAUAUAUAUAUAAUCCGGCUAUUAUACUCUUAUGAGGACAAUCAUUUUCGUAUCAUAAGUCUGUUUUCGAUGAUAGAGCUUCCAAAUCGACGAUCCAUACCGUUAAACAUUUUCGUGAGCUUUAAAACUUCUGGAAAUCAAAUUUCAUAAUUUUUAGACAUCAUUUACUUACGAUCAAAAGCUCAAAAAAUUGGCAAUUUUUAAGCGGCCAGUAUGAAAUACUUCUAGUUUAAUGGUGCAAAAGAAUCCAAAUAUGUUUGAUAUUUUUUAUUAGAAAUUCUAUUCACUAUCUAGAUUAAAGAUUAAUAACUCUGAUCUUAAAAUGAAGGAUCCGAUCAUCCAUUUUUAAGAUGUCGUUCGAUUUUAACCGUUCAUUUUAUGACCGCUGAUGACAUUUUUAUGAUUUCAAAAAUUACAAAUUUAUUUUUUAGAAGUUUCAAAUACUCUAGAUUAUAUUUAACGGAGUUGAUCAUCAAUUCGGGAAGCUCCAUCAUCGAAAACAAUCUUAUGAGUCGAAGGGCUCAAUACUCAUAAGAGUAUAGUAGCCCUACCCAUAUAUAUAUUAUAUUAUAGAUAUAUAUUAUAUAUAUAUAUAUAUAUAUAUUAUAAUUAUAUAGAGUUGGACUGGGGCUAUAUUAGUAGCAAAUCCCAUUGUUGCUACAGUUUUUUAGCUUUGGAUCAACUCUUUUCAUUAUUUCUAACCAUUGGAUUAAAUACUAUUAACCAGGUGGGAACCACUCAACCUGGGGAACCACUCAAUCUAACCGAUCUAAUAUCAUCAUGACCCUUACAAUUUUUCAUCCAAGGGUUAAAAACUUGAUAGCAAAAAAAGAUUUUACAUAUUAAUUAAUAGUAUUCCAGCUAAUUCUAGUGUAUUAGAUCAUGUUCAACGAUGCCGAUCGUCAAUUUGAAGGCUCCAUCAUCGAAAACAAAUGGUGGCAACGGAGCCCGUUUGCUAUCGAUAGUAUUCUAGUACCCCCCCCCCCNNNNNNNNNNNNNNNNNNNNNNNNNUAUAUAUAUAUAUAUAUAUAUAUAUAUAUAUAUAUAUAUAAUCCGGCUAUUAUACUCUUAUGAGGACAAUCAUUUUCGUACUCAUAAGUCGUUUUCGAUGAUAGAGCUUCCAAAUCGACGAUCCAUACCGUUAAACAUUUUCUAGAGCAUUUAAAACUUCUGGAAAUCAAAUUUCAUAAUUUUUAGACAUCAUUUACCUUACGAUCAAAAGCUCAAAAAAUUGGCAAUUUUUAACGGCCAGUAUGAAAUACUUGCUAGUUUAAUGGUGCAAAAGAAUCCAAAUAUGUUGAAUUUUUUAUAGAAAAUUCUAUUCACUAUCUAGAUAAAGAUUAAUAACUCUGAUCUUAAAAUGAAGGAUCCGAUCAUCCAUUUUUAAGAUGUCGUUCGAUUUUAACCGUUCAUUUUAUGACCGCUUGAUGAACAUUUUUAUGAUUUCAAAAAAUUACAAAAUUUAUUUUUUAGAAGUUUCAAAUACUCUAGAUUAUAUUUAACGGAGUUGAUCAUCAAUUCGGAAGCUCCAUCAUCGAAAACAACUUAUGAGUACGAAGGGCUCAAUACUCAUAAGAGUAUAGUAGCCCUACUCCAUAUAUAUAUAUAUAUAUAUAUAUAUAUAUAUANNNNNNNNNNNNNNNNNNNNNNNNNNNNNNNNNNNNNNNNNNNNNNNNNNNUCUAUAUAUAUAUAUAAAGAAUUGAGCUAGAAUACUCUUAGAAGCACCAUCUCCUUGGUGCUUCUAAAUUUUUAGCCAUUGGAUCUACUCCUUGAUUAUUAAUAGCCUUUGGAUCAAACAUUAUUCCUCCUAUCACCACCUACCACCAUCAUUCCAAUCCUACAUUUUUUUAUCCAAAGGCUAAAAACUCAAAAGCACCACAUUUUUCGUGCUUUUCGAAGUAUUCUAUCUCAACUCUCUCUCUCUUUAUAUAUAUAUAGUAUGAGGCUACUAUGCUUUUGGAAGCAUGGAGCCUUCCGUGCUUCCAAGUCGUUUUCGAUGUUGCGACUUUCGAAUCGUCGAUCGGCUCCGUUAAACUUGAUUAAGAGUAUUUGAAGUACCGAGAAAAUAAAUUUUAUAAUUUUUCGAUAUCAUUUGCCUAGUGAUCGAAGGGGCUCAAAAUCAAUAAUUUUAAUGGCCAUAAUGAGCCGUUUGCAAGUUUAACGGUGUAGAAAUAUUUAAAUCACGUGAAAUUUUGAUAAAAAAUUCUUUAUACUAUAUAAAACAAAAUCAAUAUCUUUGAUCUAAAUUUUAAUGUCAUAUUAUCACGUUUUGUAUGAUAUUUAUUUUCAGCCGUUGAUUUUGAGCCCUUUCAUUCACUAGGCAAAUAAUAUCGAAAAAUCACAUAAUUUAUUUUCUAGGCACUUUAAAUACUUUAGAUCAAGUUUAACGGAGCCGAUCAACGAUUCGAAAGUCGCAACAUGGAAAACGACUUGGAAGCACGGAAGGCUCCGUGCUUCCAAAAGCAUAGUAGCCUCACACUAUAUAUAUAUAUAUAUAUAGUUGGACUGGGCUACUAUUAGUAGCAAAAUUCCAUUGUUGCUACUAGUUUUUUAGCCUUUGAAUAAAUUCUUUUCAUUAUUUCUAACCAUUGGAUUAAAUAUUAUAACCCAGUAGGGACCACUCAACCCUAGGGGGACCACUCAUCUCUAACCGACUAAUAUCAUCCUGGCCCUAUAAUUUUUCAUCCAAGGGUUAAAAACUUGAUAGCAAAAAUAGCGUUUUACUAUUAAUAGUAUUCCAGCCUAAUUUAUAUAUAUAUAUAUAUGGCAGGGCUGCUGUGCUCUCAGGAGCACGGAGGCCUCCGUGCUCCUGAGCCGUUUUCGAUGAUAGAAUUUUUGAAUCGACGAUCGGCUCCAUUAGACUUGAUCUAGCGNUUCUCAUUGAUGCAUAUAUGUGUAGUGGUAGUUAAUUACAUAAAUGAAUGUAUAGGCGGAUGCCAUGUAGAUGCAUGAGAUGUUAUGUACUAACUAUCUUACAUGAUAAGUAUAUGCAUGUUGACAUUAUGAGAAAUAUAUUAGGUGAUAUAUAUAUGUUAACAUAUUAUGGAAUAUAUGCUAGUUGAUAAAUGCAUGUUGGCAUAAUAUAGAAUAUGUUAGAGUAUAUAAAUGAAUGUUGACGUGGUGAUAAAAUGCUAAAUAGAAUAGGCAGGUGUCGGGGUGUGACAUAUAUAUAUAUAUAUAUAUAUAUAUAUAUAUAUAUAUAUAUAUAGUUGAGCUGGAAUGCUAUCGGUAGCAAACGGGCUCCGUUGCCAUCCAUUUAUUUUCGAUGAUGGAGCUUUCAAAUCGACGAUCGGCACCGUUGAAAAUGAUCUAUAUCACUUGAAAUAUCUAGAAAUCAAAUUUAAAAUUUUUUCGACAUCAUUUACUUAAUGAUCAAAGGGUUUCAAAAUUAAUAAUUUUAGUGGUUGAUAUGAGGGGUUUUCUCGUUUAACGGUGUAAAUCUAUCCAAAUCAAUUGAAUUUUGGUUAGAAAAUUCUUUAAACUAUUUAGAACAAGAUCUAUACUNNNNNNNNNNNNNNNNNNNNNNNNNNNNNNNNNNNNNNNNNNNNNNNNNNNNNNNNNNNNNNNNNNNNNNNNNNNNNNNNNNNNNNNNNNNNNNNNNNNNNNNNNNNNNNNNNNNNNNNNNNNNNNNNNNNNNNNNNNNNNNNNNNNNNNNNNNNNNNNNNNNNNNNNNNNNNNNNNNNNNNNNNNNNNNNNNNNNNNNNNNNNNNNNNNNNNNNNNNNNNNNNNNNNNNNNNNNNNNNNNNNNNNNNNNNNNNNNNNNNNNNNNNNNNNNNNNNNNNNNNNNNNNNNNNNNNNNNNNNNNNNNNNNNNNNNNNNNNNNNNNNNNNNNNNNNNNNNNNNNNNNNNNNNNNNNNNNNNNNNNNNNNNNNNNNNNNNNNNNNNNNNNNNNNNNNNNNNNNNNNNNNNNNNNNNNNNNNNNNNNNNNNNNNNNNNNNNNNNNNNNNNNNNNNNNNNNNNNNNNNNNNNNNNNNNNNNNNNNNNNNNNNNNNNNNNNNNNNNNNNNNNNNNNNNNNNNNNNNNNNNNNNNNNNNNNNNNNNNNNNNNNNNNNNNNNNNNNNNNNNNNNNNNNNNNNNNNNNNNNNNNNNNNNNNNNNNNNNNNNNNNNNNNNNNNNNNNNNNNNNNNNNNNNNNNNNNNNNNNNNNNNNNNNNNNNNNNNNNNNNNNNNNNNNNNNNNNNNNNNNNNNNNNNNNNNNNNNNNNNNNNNNNNNNNNNNNNNNNNNNNNNNNNNNNNNNNNNNNNNNNNNNNNNNNNNNNNNNNNNNNNNNNNNNNNNNNNNNNNNNNNNNNNNNNNNNNNNNNNNNNNNNNNNNNNNNNNNNNNNNNNNNNNNNNNNNNNNNNNNNNNNNNNNNNNNNNNNNNNNNNNNNNNNNNNNNNNNNNNNNNNNNNNNNNNNNNNNNNNNNNNNNNNNNNNNNNNNNNNNNNNNNNNNNNNNNNNNNNNNNNNNNNNNNNNNNNNNNNNNNNNNNNNNNNNNNNNNNNNNNNNNNNNNNNNNNNNNNNNNNNNNNNNNNNNNNNNNNNNNNNNNNNNNNNNNNNNNNNNNNNNNNNNNNNNNNNNNNNNNNNNNNNNNNNNNNNNNNNNNNNNNNNNNNNNNNNNNNNNNNNNNNNNNNNNNNNNNNNNNNNNNNNNNNNNNNNNNNNNNNNNNNNNNNNNNNNNNNNNNNNNNNNNNNNNNNNNNNNNNNNNNNNNNNNNNNNNNNNNNNNNNNNNNNNNNNNNNNNNNNNNNNNNNNNNNNNNNNNNNNNNNNNNNNNNNNNNNNNNNNNNNNNNNNNNNNNNNNNNNNNNNNNNNNNNNNNNNNNNNNNNNNNNNNNNNNNNNNNNNNNNNNNNNNNNNNNNNNNNNNNNNNNNNNNNNNNNNNNNNNNNNNNNNNNNNNNNNNNNNNNNNNNNNNNNNNNNNNNNNNNNNNNNNNNNNNNNNNNNNNNNNNNNNNNNNNNNNNNNNNNNNNNNNNNNNNNNNNNNNNNNNNNNNNNNNNNNNNNNNNNNNNNNNNNNNNNNNNNNNNNNNNNNNNNNNNNNNNNNNNNNNNNNNNNNNNNNNNNNNNNNNNNNNNNNNNNNNNNNNNNNNNNNNNNNNNNNNNNNNNNNNNNNNNNNNNNNNNNNNNNNNNNNNNNNNNNNNNNNNNNNNNNNNNNNNNNNNNNNNNNNNNNNNNNNNNNNNNNNNNNNNNNNNNNNNNNNNNNNNNNNNNNNNNNNNNNNNNNNNNNNNNNNNNNNNNNNNNNNNNNNNNNNNNNNNNNNNNNNNNNNNNNNNNNNNNNNNNNNNNNNNNNNNNNNNNNNNNNNNNNNNNNNNNNNNNNNNNNNNNNNNNNNNNNNNNNNNNNNNNNNNNNNNNNNNNNNNNNNNNNNNNNNNNNNNNNNNNNNNNNNNNNNNNNNNNNNNNNNNNNNNNNNNNNNNNNNNNNNNNNNNNNNNNNNNNNNNNNNNNNNNNNNNNNNNNNNNNNNNNNNNNNNNNNNNNNNNNNNNNNNNNNNNNNNNNNNNNNNNNNNNNNNNNNNNNNNNNNNNNNNNNNNNNNNNNNNNNNNNNNNNNNNNNNNNNNNNNNNNNNNNNNNNNNNNNNNNNNNNNNNNNNNNNNNNNNNNNNNNNNNNNNNNNNNNNNNNNNNNNNNNNNNNNNNNNNNNNNNNNNNNNNNNNNNNNNNNNNNNNNNNNNNNNNNNNNNNNNNNNNNNNNNNNNNNNNNNNNNNNNNNNNNNNNNNNNNNNNNNNNNNNNNNNNNNNNNNNNNNNNNNNNNNNNNNNNNNNNNNNNNNNNNNNNNNNNNNNNNNNNNNNNNNNNNNNNNNNNNNNNNNNNNNNNNNNNNNNNNNNNNNNNNNNNNNNNNNNNNNNNNNNNNNNNNNNNNNNNNNNNNNNNNNNNNNNNNNNNNNNNNNNNNNNNNNNNNNNNNNNNNNNNNNNNNNNNNNNNNNNNNNNNNNNNNNNNNNNNNNNNNNNNNNNNNNNNNNNNNNNNNNNNNNNNNNNNNNNNNNNNNNNNNNNNNNNNNNNNNNNNNNNNNNNNNNNNNNNNNNNNNNNNNNNNNNNNNNNNNNNNNNNNNNNNNNNNNNNNNNNNNNNNNNNNNNNNNNNNNNNNNNNNNNNNNNNNNNNNNNNNNNNNNNNNNNNNNNNNNNNNNNNNNNNNNNNNNNNNNNNNNNNNNNNNNNNNNNNNNNNNNNNNNNNNNNNNNNNNNNNNNNNNNNNNNNNNNNNNNNNNNNNNNNNNNNNNNNNNNNNNNNNNNNNNNNNNNNNNNNNNNNNNNNNNNNNNNNNNNNNNNNNNNNNNNNNNNNNNNNNNNNNNNNNNNNNNNNNNNNNNNNNNNNNNNNNNNNNNNNNNNNNNNNNNNNNNNNNNNNNNNNNNNNNNNNNNNNNNNNNNNNNNNNNNNNNNNNNNNNNNNNNNNNNNNNNNNNNNNNNNNNNNNNNNNNNNNNNNNNNNNNNNNNNNNNNNNNNNNNNNNNNNNNNNNNNNNNNNNNNNNNNNNNNNNNNNNNNNNNNNNNNNNNNNNNNNNNNNNNNNNNNNNNNNNNNNNNNNNNNNNNNNNNNNNNNNNNNNNNNNNNNNNNNNNNNNNNNNNNNNNNNNNNNNNNNNNNNNNNNNNNNNNNNNNNNNNNNNNNNNNNNNNNNNNNNNNNNNNNNNNNNNNNNNNNNNNNNNNNNNNNNNNNNNNNNNNNNNNNNNNNNNNNNNNNNNNNNNNNNNNNNNNNNNNNNNNNNNNNNNNNNNNNNNNNNNNNNNNNNNNNNNNNNNNNNNNNNNNNNNNNNNNNNNNNNNNNNNNNNNNNNNNNNNNNNNNNNNNNNNNNNNNNNNNNNNNNNNNNNNNNNNNNNNNNNNNNNNNNNNNNNNNNNNNNNNNNNNNNNNNNNNNNNNNNNNNNNNNNNNNNNNNNNNNNNNNNNNNNNNNNNNNNNNNNNNNNNNNNNNNNNNNNNNNNNNNNNNNNNNNNNNNNNNNNNNNNNNNNNNNNNNNNNNNNNNNNNNNNNNNNNNNNNNNNNNNNNNNNNNNNNNNNNNNNNNNNNNUAUCAAGUUCAUCUUAAGAGUUGAAAAAUGAACGGUCAUAAAUGAAUAACCUUCUUAAAAUAGAGGUUAAACUUUCUCAGUUCGUAAUCAGAGUUAUCAAACAUUAUCUAAAUAGUAUAAAGAAUUUUCUAUUAAAAAUUCAAGCAAUUUGGAUUGCUCUACACCGUUAAACAAGCAAACGGCUCAUAUAGGCCAUAAAAAAUUGUCGAUUUUACGACACUUUGAUCACCAUGUAAACCAUUAUCAAAAUUUAUGAAAUUUAGUUUCUAGAUAUUUCAAAUACUCUAGAUCAACUUCAACGGCUCCGAUCAUCGAUUCGGAAUCUCGAUCAUCAAGAACAACUUGAUAGGACAAGUGCUCCUAUCCUAUUAAUAGGAUAGUAGCAUUAGCCUAUAUAUAUAUAUAUAUAUAUAUAUAUAUAUAGAGUUGGGCUGGAAUGCUAUUGAUAGCACCCAGCCAAUUUUGCCACCCAUUUUAUAGCCCUCGGAUUGCAUCGAGAUCCGUGCAACCCUUUAAGUGAAAAGUUUCGGUGGGUUUCUCUGUUAACCCUCCGUUAUCUCUCUCUCUCACACUCUCUCACUCACUCACUCUCUCUCUCUUCUUUUCUUUUUUCUUUUCCUUUCUUCUCCACAGAUCUCAUCUCCUUUUCCUUUCUUCUCCACAGAUCUCCUCCCACCAGAGCCUUCUCCACACCCCGCCCACCUCCCACCUCGCCCGCUCGCCCCCUCGCCAUUUCAUUUCUUUUUCCUUUUUCUUUCUUCUCCUCCGCAAAACCCACCGAAUCCCUCUCCCGUCUCGCUCGUGCGCCGGCUCGCUCGCGCCCCAACUCACUCGGCCGCCCGCUCGCUUGCUCAAAACUUGAUUCUUUCUCAGGUUUGAAAGAAAGAAACUCUUUUUUCUCUUUUUUUUUGUUUGCUAUAAUUUUCUGAAACUAUUGACAGGAAAUUUUUUUUUUGGUGAUGUUUUUUCCCAGAGAAAAAAAAUAUUUUUUUGGUGAUGUUUACGUUUUCUUUACUCAAAGUUAUGCAUAUUUCUUUUUUAUUGCUGUGGAAUAAUAAAGUAUUGUUGCAAAGAGGUGAUUGUUUGGGCUAAUUUAAUAUUUAGGCUCAAAGUAUUGUUGCAAACAGGUGAUUCUUUGCUCAAAGUUAAGACCUUCGCUGAGCAAAUUUUUUUUUGUUGCAUGUUUCUUUUUUUAAAUAUUUGGGCUAAUUUAAUAUUCUAUUGCAAGUAGACAAUGACAUCAUGAAUUUUUAUUAGUUACUAAUUUGAGUUUUGUGAAAUUACAUAGAUGGAUAGUGGAGAUUAUUGUGAUUCACCAAUUUUCAAUGGUUCGGAUAAUGAAAGUGUUGAAGAAGAACUUGACUCUCCAUUGAUUGAUACGACAUUUAUUGAAAGUAGAGAAUUGGAUUCCUUGACAAGUAAACAGAGUCAAUGUGAACAAGAUGCUUCAAGCUUAAUUGCACAUGGAACGGAAUCGUCAAUUGAUGAGCCCUUCAUUGGGAGAGAAUUUAAGGAUGAAAAGGAAGCUAUGAAAUUUUAUAAUAUAUAUGCAUAUAAAGCCGGUUUUAGUAUAAGAAAAAAAACACACUAUAAAGCCAAGAAAAAGGAUAAUAUGAUCACGUCAUUGCAUUAUGUUUGUUCUAAAGAAGGCUAUUGCUCAGAUCGAGGUCAAGGGCAAGAUAAUAAAGGCACACCUAAAAAACAAAUGCAGUAUAGUCGAACUGGUUGUAAAGCACAUUUAAGGGUAAAAAUGAUAAAUGAUGGAAAAUGGAUCGUGACUGCAUUUGUGAGAGAACACAAUCAUGAUUUAGUUGUAAGUCCAUCAAAAGCUCGUUUUCUCCGAUCUCACCGUUCAAUCACAAAUGAACAAAAGGAUAUGAUUCAUAUGUUAAGUGAACAAAAUAUUUCAACCAGUCAAAUCAUGACUUUUAUGGCGGCAAGAGAAGGAGGACCACAUAAUAUUCACUUCACAAGGAAAGAUUUAAAUAAUGAGGUUUCCGAAAAAAAUAGAAGGCUUAAAGGGGUGGACAUAUCAACUGCCAUUAACUACUUCCGUGAUCGUCAAGUCAAAGAUCCAUCUUUUUUUUUAUGCAAUACAGGUUGAUGAGGAAAAUAUGGCACAAAACUUAUUUUGGAUUGACGGACGUUCAAGGAUGGCAAGCCAACAUUUUGGAGAUGUUAUUACCUUUGAUACAACUUAUAUGACAAAUAAGUAUUGUAUGCCGUUUGCCCCUUUUAUUGGAGUUAAUCAUCAUCGACAAUCAAUAUUUUUCGGAUGUGCCCUUAUUAGAGAUGAAACUGCUAACACAUUUUGUUGGCUAUUUAAGACUUGGCUUCAAGCAGUUUUUGGGCAACAUCCUAAAUCCAUUAUUACAUAUCAAGAUCCAGCAAUGAGGAAAGCAAUUGAGCAAGUUCUACCAAACACUGUGCAUAGAUGUUGCCAAUGGCAUAUAAUGAGAAAAGCAAGAGAGCAUUUGGGUAUACUUUAUGGUACCAAAGAAGGAUUUAAAAAAGAUCUAGAGUUAUGCGUAAAUAACAGCUUGACUAUAGAGGAGUUUGAGACUAGAUGGGCUGUGAUGCUUGAAAAGUAUGAACUACGUGAGAACAAUCAUCUUCAGGUUAUGUGGAAUAGUAGACAUCAAUGGAUUCCUGCAUAUUUUAGAGAUUCAUUUUUUGCUGAAAUGUCUACAUCACAACGUAGUGAGAGCAUGAAUGCCCUUUUAAAGAUGUUUGUGGAUUGUCAUACCUCGAUUUACAAAUUUGUAAUACAAUUUGAAAAGAUUGUUUCAAGUCGUUAUGAUAAGGAGGAUGAGGCGGACUUUAGAUCAAAAGAUGGUGAGCCAAGUUUAUGGUCAUAUAAUCCGAUUGAGAAACAAGCUCGCGAUAUUUACACAAAGAAAGUAUUCAGUGAAUUUAAGAACCAGUUGAAAAUUAGUACAAAAUAUGAAAUAAUGGAGUUGGAGGUUAAUUCAUUAUACAAAAUUAGAAGAAUUGAAUCUUCUACAUCAUCUCCUCAAAUGAACUCUUACACAGUUAGAGUGGAUAGGACUACCGAGAAGGUUGAUUGUAGUUGCAAGUUCUUUGAAUUCAGUGGCUUAUUAUGUUCUCAUGCAUUGAAAGUUAUGCUUCAAAUUCAAAUGCAUCACAUUCCUAUCCAAUAUAUUAUGAAAAGGUGGACCAAAAAUGCAAAAAAAGGAUCGCCUAGCACGAAUUUGGGGUCUAUAGUAGUUGAUGAUUUUUCAGAUUCUAAAGCUGCAAGAUUUAAUGCACUAAAUCUUAAAGUUCAAAAAAUACCAUUUGAAGCCUCGAAAAAUUUGGAGGUAUAUAAAAUGACUUGCGAUGAGAUAGAUAAACUCGUUGAUAAGAUUGUUGCAUUUAAUGAAACAUUGAAGGAGAGAGAAGGAGAUAACAUUGGAGAUCACAAUAUAAAUACUUUUACACAAUCAAGUGGAGUUGAGCUUAUAGUGAAGGACCCUCCACAAUCACAAUGUAAAGGAAAGAGAAAGCCGCAAAGAUUCAAACCACCUAUUGAAAAAGGUGUCAAAAAAGCUCGAAAAUGUGCCUGCUGUGGAAAGAAAGGACACAAUGUUCGUACAUGCAAAGAGGUGAUUGUUUUCGUUCUAACCAAUGUUGUCAAGUAGUUAAGUUCUAAUUAAUUUUUUUAAUUUUAUUUCUUACAUAUGUUAGGUUUAACCAAUUCCGUUUUCCUGUAGCUUGCAUCAAGAGAAAAGGAUGGCGUUGCAUAUACUACGAUGAGCGAAGAAGAAACAGAUAGCUCGAACAACUCAACAUGACGAUGAGCGAAGAAGAAACGAAAGAAGAAGGCUCUUUGUUGUUAUAUUUUGAUUUUGGCUUUGCACUAGAUCCAUUUGGUGUAGAAAAACUUGAUUGUAAUAUAUAAUACUUUGAAGUGGUUGUAACUCAGUGGAUGGUUGAAUUCAAGCUUGAAUGAUCAGUAUUCCAAAUAUUUGAUUGGUUUCUAAAUAUUUGCUUGCAUGGAUUCUAAAUAUUUGAUUGGUGUCUAAACAUUUGCUUGCAUGGAUUCUAAAUAUUUGAUUGGUUUCUAAAUAUUUGCUUGUAUGGAUUCUAAAUAUUUGAUUGGUUUCUAAAUAUUUGCUUGUAUGGAUUCUAAAUAUUUGUUUGGUUUCUAAAUAUUUGCUUGUAUGUAUUCUAAAUAUUUGUUUGGUUUCUAUAUCAUUCAAGAUUUUUUGUGUUGUGAGAAUUUAGGCAAUGAAAAAUUACAACCAGGGCUACAUAAGAUCAUUGGCGAGGAACAUUAUGAAACUGCGCAGACUAUUCGAGAAGUAAAGUAGGUGAAACUCAGCAUGUUGCAUAUGCUUGACAAACAAAGAUAUACCUAUAGAGAUCAAAGUAGCUGGUUUUCUUCCCAUUUACCAAAGUAAAAAAAAAAGAAGAAAAGAUUUUUCAAUUGAAUUUAAGCUGGCAUAAUGCAAUCAAAACAACUUACUGGUCAUCUAGACACAUGAUAAAUAGACAAUAUCAAAAUGGAAAAGGUAUUCUAAUCAACAUUAAUGCUUUCCAUAAAACUAGCCUUCUUCUUAAGCGGAACAUAAUACAGCAAAAAGGAACAUAUUCACCAGCCCAACGAUUUUCACUCUCACAAGUAGAUUCUCUACCUAGCUUAACUUAAAAUUCCAAACUCCUAACCCCAAGCUCUCAAAACAGCUGUAAUCAAAACUUAGAAGCAAGGUCAAUCAUAUUCAAAACCUACCAUCAAUUGUCCAUCAUCUCAUCAUCUAUCUCUUCAAUCCUCUAUUUAAACACUACCAGCCAAUUGGCCAAGCAAAACGAAUUUCGUCAAUAGAACCUAGUGUUUACAGCAUCACUCAAUCACAAUGUAAAAUAGUGCUUACAAAAUUAUGCAUAUAAUAUAUGUCAUAUACAUAUACAAAUACUCUCCAAUUAUAUUAAAAUCUUCACAUAUAUAACUGCUACUAAUACAAAUAAUACAACUAAAUACAUUCUUAUUCUAAAAAACACACUAUUCAUCUCCACUUUUAACUCCUUCAACUCAUCUUGUAGUGCAGAAAAAUUUAUCUUGUCUGAAAAAUCAUCUGUUUGUAUCCCUCUAGAUGUACUUUCACAUGAUGUCAUAUUAGAAGAACCCAUUUCUGAAACAUUAUAGUCUGAAUCACACCACGUGAAGAAUUGGCAAUGAUCUCCGGUUGAUUUUCUGUUAUAUUUAGCGCAGCUGUAGAAUGGUCUUCCAGGAUUAACAGAUGUACGGGAGAUUUUAACCACUGCUUUGUUGCCACAGUAGCACAACACUAUGGGUGAUUGUGUAUAACCUAUAUGCUGCCUUCUAUUCAUUUGUCGAUUUAUCUACAAGAUUAAGGUAGAAAAAUAUCAAAUGAGAAAAGACUAUUUAAAUAAAGUAUAAUGCAACAAUGCCAUAUCAUUUCACAGAAAGACAUGAAUCUUGCUAAAAAUAUAUAUUACAAAAGCUAGAUGACUAACAUUAACAUAUUACAAAAGCUAUACACAAAGACCGACCAUUGAACACACCCUAGAUUAUACAAAAUAUAUAUUCUCAUGUCAAGCUGCUUCUUCAAGUUGAGUCAGGUGCAUGCAAUGGGGUUGGAGAUACAACAGAGACCAACUACAACAACAAUACUCACUCAUGCUUCUCAUUUUUUUAUUUAUUUAUAUGAGAUUUAUUCUAUUUUUUCUUAAAAAAAAUUUUGCAGCUCAUACACACGCAUAGAAUGUCAUCAAUUGUAAUAACUUUUAAUUAAUUUAGGUGCCGUAGCAGCACAAUUAUAUUUCAUUAUCCGAACCAUUGAAAAUUGGUGAAUCACAAUAAUCUUUACUAUCCAUCUAUAUAAUUUCACAAAACUCAAAUUAGUAAUUAGCCCAAAUAUUUACGAAAAGAAACAUGCAACAAAAAAAAAUCUGCUCAGAGAAGGUUUUAACUUUGAGCAAAGAAUCACCUCUUUGCAACAAUACUUUGAGCCUAAAUAUUAAAUUAGCCCAAACAUUCACAUUUUUUCCUGUCAAUAGUUUCAGAAAAUUAUAGCAAACAAAAAAAAAGAGAAAAAAGAGUUUCUUUCUUUCAAACCUGAGAAAGAAUCAAGUUUUGAGCAAGCGAGCAGGCGGCCGAGUGAGUUGGGGCGCGAGCGAGCCGGCGCACGAGCGAGACGGGAGAGGGAUUCGGUGGGUUUUGCACAGGAGAAGAAAGAAAAAGGAAAAAGAAAUGAAAUGGCGAGGGGGCGAGCGGGCGAGGUGGGAGGUGGGCGGGGUGUGGAGAAGGCUCUGGUGGGAGGAGAUCUGUGGAGAAGAAAGGAAAAGGAGAUGAGAUCUGUGGAGAAGAAAGGAAAAGAAAAAAGAAAAGAAGAGAGAGAGAGUGAGUGAGUGAGAGAGUGUGAGAGAGAGAGAUAACGGAGGGUUAACAGAGAAACCCACCGAAACUUUUCACUUAAAGGGUUGCACGGAUCUCGAUGCAAUCCGAGGGCUAUAAAAUGGGUGGCAAAAUUGGCUGGGUGCUAUCAAUAGCAUUCCAGCCCAACUCUAUAUAUAUAUAUAUAUAUAUAUAUAUAUAUAGGCUAAUGCUACUAUCCUAUUAAUAGGAUAGGAGCACUUGUCCUAUCAAGUUGUUCUUGAUGAUCGAGAUUCCGAAUCGAUGAUCGGAGCCGUUGAAGUUGAUCUAGAGUAUUUGAAAUAUCUAGAAACUAAAUUUCAUAAAUUUUGAUAAUGGUUUACAUGGUGAUCAAAGUGUCGUAAAAUCGACAAUUUUUUAUGGCCUAUAUGAGCCGUUUGCUUGUUUAACGGUGUAGAGCAAUCCAAAUUGCUUGAAUUUUUAAUAGAAAAUUUCGUUAUACUAUUUUAGAUAAUGUUUGAUAACUCUGAUUCACGAACUGAGAAAGUUUAACCUCUAUUUUAAGAAGGUUUAUUUUAUGACCGUUCAUUUUUCAAUCCUUAAGAUGACUUGAUAGUGAUUUUUAAAUAAUACAAAAUUUGAUUUCUAUAACAUUUCUAAUUGUGUAGAUUAACUUCAACGGUGCCGAUUAUCAAUUUGAAGUUCGAUCAUUCAAAUCAACUUGAUACGACAAGGGUUCCAAUUCUAUUAAUAGAAUAGUAGAGCGGACCCUAUAUAUAUAUAUUAUAUAUAUAUAUAUAUAUAUAUAUAUAUUAUAUUAUAUUAUAUAAUUAGGCUGGAAUAUCUAUUAAUAUGUAAAACGCUCUUUUUGCUAUCAAAUUUUUAACUCUUGGAUGAAAAAUUGUAAGGUCGGGAUGAUAUUAGUCGGUUAGAGUUCAGUGUCCCCCUAGGGUUGAGUGGUCCGCCACUGGUUAUAGAUUUAUCAAUGGUUAGAAAUAAUGAAAAAAAUUGAUCAAAGGCUAAAAAACUGUUCAGCAAAAUGGAAUUUGUACUAAUAGUAGCUCAGUCCAACUCUAUAUAUAUUAUAUAUAUAUAUUAUAAUAUAUAAUAUAUAUAUAUAUAUAUGAAUAUUCCGUAUGAUCUUUUUAUUGAGUACAUCAAAGUUAUCUUUUCCUAGUAGUUGUGCCCUUUGAACGCACUAAAUUAAUAUUUCAAGUUAUAUCACGUGUUAUCAUAAAUUAGUUGACUCAAAUAUCUAGCUUUCACAUUUGAUAUCAAGCCUUGUAUUAGUUAAAGCUCUGUGCUUUUGAAAGCAUAAACAUGAUUUCGUUACACCUAAAUACUGCUCGAAAAAUACUUGAACUAAUAAAAUUUCUAUCAUCGACUGUCCCUAGAGCAAGUGGCAAAGGCUGUGGUUGGUACCGAGACCCAAGUUCGAAUCCUGAUUGAUUCACAUUUCCAGCUAAGUUUAUUUCUAAAUAAAAUAAACGAAGCCGGGUAGCUAGCUACUAUUUCUCAAAAAAAAAAAAAAAAAACAUCAAAGUUAAUCUUUUCCCAGUAGUUGUGCCCUCUUGAACCACAAUUAAAUAUUUACAGAGUUCAUUAAUCACGUGUUAUCAUACAUUAGUUGACUCAAUAUCUAGCUUUCACAUUUGGAUCAAGGGCUUGUAUUAGUUAAAGCUCUGUCUUGAAAGAUAAAAAUGAUUUCGUUACACUAAAUACUGCUCAAAAAUACUUGAACUAAUAAAUUUCUAUCAUCCUUUCUCUAAUAUAAGUGGCAAAGGAACUUAGUGGUUGGUACAACGAGAUUUCAAGUUGAAUCCUAAUUGAUUAACAAUUCUGUCUAAUAUAUCUAAAUAAAAAUAAACGAAACGGACAGUAUGCUACCUAGCUUAUCUCUCUCUCAAAAAAAAAAAAAAAUUCCAUGCAACAUUCAAAUAUGUUAAAUAUUCCCAGAAAUGCAAUAAAUGGUCAAAGACAACAAUGAUGAAAAGGUAGAAAAUAAUUAAUGUGUAUUAUUAUAUAUUGCUUUUACUGUUAUAAUGAAGCCAACACCAACUAUUAUGUCCGCAUUAGAGAAGUGUGUAUCUCCGGUAUUCGUUAGUACAAGGAGAGUAAAUGCUGUGGAAAUGCUUAGGAUCUUUUUAGAAAUUUAAUUAUAUUAUUAUAUAUAUUAGAGAGAGGAGAGAGAGAGAGAGAGAGUUUGUAUAUAAAUAUUAUUAAUAUAUUUAAUAUCUAUUUUUGACUAGUGGAUAUUAGUGGGGGUUUGUAAAAUAAUAAUAGUUUAAUAAGGUUGAAAAAAUGGAUGGUAGCUAUUAUUCAUAUAAUAUUAAUAAUAGCAUACUUACUGGAAUAUCUCCUAGAUCAAUUCUUUUUUCUUUUCUUUUUUUUUUUGCUAGUCUUUUGUGUUGCGGUUUUUUCUUGAGGUCUUGUGCUGUCUCACCCUUAUAGACUAAUUCAUCAUAUUCAUAAAUGAAGCAGGUAGCGGGCUAUCUAUUCUGCGAAAAAUAGCAUCAUCUAUACUUGAACUUAUAUAUAUUAAAGAGAUAGAGAGUUGAGGUAAAGUUCUUCAAAAGCACUAAGGGGUUGGUGUUUUAGCAAUGUGGACUGAGAGAUGUAGAGUGGAUUAAUGGUGGUAGGCUGAAAUAGUGUUUGAUCGCAAGGUUAUUAGUAAUCAAGGAGUAGAUCCAAGGGUUAGAAAUCAAAAACACAAGGGGUUGGGGCUUUUGUAUUUAUUCUAGCCAAUUGGAUGGAGAGAUGUAGGGUUGAGAUGAUGGUGGUAGGUGAUGGGAGGUGGAAUAUGUUUGAUCCAAGAUUAUUAGUAUUAAGGAGUGAUUAAGGGCUAAAAAUUCAAAAGCACCAAGGAGUUGAUGCUUUUGAGAGUAUUCAGCUCAAUUAUUAUAUAUAUUAUAUAUAUAUAUAUAUAUGGUUAGAGAUGAUUUGAGCCUUUAGGGUUGAGUGGUGGUUGGUUAAAUAGUAUAAUCUAACGGAUAAAAAUGAUCAAAGGUGUAGAUUAAUGGUAAAAAAAUUACAAGUACAAAUGCUGGUGCUUUUACAAGCACCAUAGCAAGACUAUAUAUAUUUAUAGAGAGAGGAGAGAGAGAGAGAGGUGAGGCUACUAGCUAUCGAAAGGCACAGAGCCUUUCGUGCUUCAGUCAGUUUUCGAUGUUGCGACUCUCUUCGAUCGGCUCGGUUAAAUUUGUCUAGAGUAUUUGGAGUACCUAGAAAAUAAAUUUUAUUGUUUUUCGAUAUCAUUUGGCCUAGUGAUCGAAUGGGCUCAAAAUCAACAAAUUUCAAUGGCCGUAGUGAGCCGUUUGCAAGUUUAACUGCUUGUAGAAAUAUCCAAUCACGUGACAUUUUGAUAGAAAAAUUCUUUAUACUAUAUAAAACAAGAUCAAUAUCUUUGAUUUAAAAUUUAAUGUCAUAUUAUUACAUUUAUAAGAUUUUUAUUUUCAGCCUUGAUUUUGAGCCCCUUGUUCACUAGGCAAAAGAUAUCGUUAAAUAAAUCAUAAAAUUUAUUUUCUAGGUAACUUCAAAUCUCUAGAUAAGUUUAACGGAAGCCGAUCGACGAUUCGGAAGUCACAACAUCGAAAAUGAGCUGGAAGCACGGAGGUCCCGUAUUCCGUAUGCUCCGAUAGCUCACUCCAUAUUAUAUUAUAUAUUAUAUCAUUUUAGUUUUACUUUUGUCUCCUCUCAAGAACCGAAGACUUUGGGGAUUAAUGGGCCCUGGGUUUGUGGGUUACACGGACCUCUAGCUAAUGCUUAAUCUCUGCGUUAAACCUAUGUUAACAGGGACAAUUUGGUUCGGAGGUUUAUUAAUGUUUUAGAAGAAUUGUAUAUUUUAUUGGAUUAAUGGUAUUUUUUUUUAUUGAGUCGCUCGGAUGAAAAUUAAUAGACUAACUAAAUGAUUCUCAUCCAAUAUAGAAAUGGGCAUACUCCUAAUUCAUAAUAUUUAGUAUUACUAUAAUCCCUAAAAGUUUAUAUAUUUCUUAAAUACUUCGCUAACACUUUCCUUUGCAAUUGAGUUGAUGAUACGCCGCGAUUUAGAGUAUUUUCAAUAGAAAAUAUGGAAGAAUAAUGAGAUAUUACAUUCGUGAACAAAUGGGUCUGUGCCAACAAAAAAUAAUUUAAAAUUUAGCAUACUCCUUUUCGGAAUUGUUUUUAUUUUUUUCCUUAAUUGUUGUUUUAAUUAUUAUUUUUGAUACUAUUUCCAACACCGCUAAGAAGAGCUAAAAGAGUACGAAAAAUAAGAUUAACAAAACAGUAUUGUUAUUGAAGAAAAAAAAAUAUUGAAUUACUUCGGAUCUGUUCAAUAAAUUUGAUUAGAUUUAGUAUACUUUAUUACGACGGUUGAUCCUGUCUAUGAAUAUUACUGUUCAAUUUCGAUAUCAAUUUUCAGGAAACUCUAAACAACAUUCAAAGAGACUUCACAAAUUAAAUUAAUUAAAUUAAAUUUCUAGCUUACUCUCUACGAGUUUUUCAAAAUUUCUGACUAAUUAAUUCGUACUUGGGGAACAUAGGCUUGUUCAUGAAAUUUCCACUUUUGUCCUUCUACGUGGCAAUUAUGCGAUGGUUCUAACACGAGUUCAUGAAUAUUCGCAUAUCAAUGAAAAACAUCAAAAGCAACGUUUAAAGAUAACUACUUUUACUUGUAGCUAUCCUAAUAAUUUUUUAAUCUUUUUUUUUCCUUCUUUUCACAUUUCAUUUUCUUACAUUUUACUAAUUUAAUUUGUGAGAGUGAAUAAUUGUGGGGGGAAAGAAACUUGGAAAAUGAAAGUUAAUUUGUGGGGGCCUUGAUGUGAGAAAGUAUAUAUACUCGUUUUGAGCGUCUUUGGUGCCAACAAGUAUCAUGCAAGAAAAAAAAACAAAAUAAAAAAUAUGAACACAACUUCAAGUCAUUGCCAAAAAAAAAAAAACAUGAAAGUACGUAUAUAUUUAAUUUAUGUUUUUAUAAAGGGCGCUGUCAUUUUCGUCAUUAAAACUUUAACAUGUUAUAAUUUUUUACUUGAUUUUUUAAAAUUAUUAUAGUUAAAUUUACAACCAAUUUAGUUAAUUAAAUUUAAUAUAUCGUCGAUUGAAGUAAUGUGAUGUUUUUAUCUAUUAUGUGUGUCGUCAUUAUAUAUUACUACAUAUUGAUGUACAUUAGUUGUAAAUUAAUAUUUAGUUAAUUAAAUUAAAUUUAUCGAACUUAAUUAUAAUAAUUCAGAAAAGAGUCGAACAAAAAAUUAUAAAUUAAAAUUUGAGAAUUAGGUGUCCUGCACGUUAUAGUUUGACGAUUAAAAGGUGAGUUACCCCUUUUUUUUUUUUUUUUUUUUUUUUCUUUUUUUAGUGUAAGCUCUCUCCGACCACAAAAAGGAAUGGAUGUCCUUUUGUUCGGAGACUUUGGAGAAUUAAAUGUGAAUUCAUUACGAGGUCAAACAUGUGGACCACUACUAUGAGAGCAAAAUAAUUGGAGCUUCCUUAAUUAGGAUAGUUCUUAGAAUAAGCAAGUGCAUGUACAAAAUCAAACCUUUUUUUUUUUCUUUUGAUUUUACAGUACAAAAAAAAAUUCAGAGAUACACCAAAUAACAGAGGGCCAAUAUAAUGAUUACAAAAAUAAUUAUAAUAAAUAGCGAAAUUCUUUGGGUCCUUUAUUUAUAAGUGCUUAACGCGAUGUCAAGUUUUAGAAUAUUGCAUGAGUGAACUAAACAAAAUUGUUCAUAUUAUAAAUGCCAACAUAUUUGUAGUUCAAUGUAAGCAGCAUUUUAAGAAUCAGUAUAUGGCAAUAUUCUCUUACAAAUAAUACAGAAGGUUAGUUGUAGUUUAUGUAAGUAGCUUUUUUUUUUUUUUUUUUAGGGGUCCUGGUUGCCCCACUCUUGUAGUCUAGUUCAUCUAUCCAAUGAAUGAAACGGGUAGCGCGCUAUCUUUUUUUUUAAAAAAAAAAAAUAAUACAGAAGAUUAGUUGGAUAAUAGCUCAUAAUUAAUUAAGGAUAAUUGUCUAUAUAUCCUUCAAAACUUAAAAAAUAUCUCAUUUAUUUCUAGCUUUUUUUUUUCAAUAUACCCCUCAUAUAUUCCUCCUGUAUUCCAAAAUGCUCUAGUAAUUACCAUCCAUUAAGUUAACUUGCGUUAAACGUGAGCUAAAUAUCUAUCAAAGUUAAAAAAAUCAAAAUAUCUCUUUUGCCCUUAACUUAAGGACAAAUAAAAAAUGUUGGUAAUGGUAGAAAGGUAAAUUUGAAAAGACCAAAAAUCAAAAUGCUUUUUUGUACUUCUAACUUAAAGACAAAUAAAAAUAGUUGUUGAUAAUAGAAGAAUAUAUUUGAAAAGGCAAAAUAUUAAAUUUAUAAAGAUAACAGUUAUAACUAACAGUUUAUUAAUAGAAUUUAACUCUAAAAUUAUAUUUGAAAUAAGUUGAAACGUAAAAAAAAUAUUUUUAAUAUUAACCUUUUAGGAAAGAUAAAUCAAAAAGUCAGAAAAUUUUCAAAAAUAUAUAAACAAUUGCCCCAAUUAAUUAUGUACAUUAUAAUUAUUGCUAUUAUUUAGCAAAUGCUAUAUUAUUAAUGACUGAAAUAAAAACCAAAAAAAAGGCGAAAAGUAAAGCAUGUACAUGGCAACUAGGGAUGCAAACCGGGCGGAUCUCGGAGCGGGAGCCCAGCCCCGCCUCCCGCCCCGACUAGCAAAAUUCCGCCCCGCCUUCCGCCCCGAAUUCGUAACGGGUUAAAAAAUGCAUCCCAUAAUCCGCCCCGCCUUGUAACCCGCCUCCCGCCGGUGCCCCGAAUCCGCUCCGCAAACUAAUAUUUUUUAUAAAUUAUAAUAUUAUUAAUAUUUUGUAAAAUAUAAAAUAAUAAUUUUUAAUAAUAUUAUAUAUAUAAUUUAACAAUAUCAAUUAUAAAAAUUAAAAACAUCAAUCACAAUUCAAAACAAAAUUUAAAAGUUUCAAAUACAUUAGAAAUGGGAGUAUUAACUUAUUUGUAUUUUAAACUUUUUUAUAAAUCUAUAAUUUUCUAUAAAUAUUUUUUUUAAAUAUAAAUAAUUUUCGGGACGAAUUCGGGGCGGAUCAUGACGGGGCGGAUUCAGGGCGGGUCAAAAUUUUUUUCGUUUCCUGCCCCGAAUUCCUCUCAGAUCGUAAAAUUUAUCAUAUUUUUCGCUCCGAAUUCGUUUAUUUUCUCCCAUUUACUGUUCUCGUCGGGACGGAUCGGGACGGAAGCUCCACCAAUCCGGAUCCUUGCAUCCCUAAUGGCAACGCAUGAAAAGGAAAGUGUUUUUGUUUGGCGCACUUAAUUACUUUGAAAGACUAAAGAACACUGGCCUGAGGAAGGGACAGAAAGAAAAAUAAGUAAAUAAACAAAAUAAAAUAAAAUAAAAUAACCUGGUCAUCAAUUUGCCCAACAUUUAUUCCUGACCGUUGAUCAAAAUUGUAGGCGCGAAGAAAACAGAUGCGUUUAAACUAUGGAUGUGGGAGUUUGCCCUUUCGGAGACAAUGAAAAUUUGCAAAAGUACGUGUGGCUCUCUUUUUCUUGUGCUGUUAGAUGCAAACUCCAUAAUGACAAAAAAUCCGAGUUGGACGGUGUAUGUAUAUGUAUAAAUAUUAUUUUUAUAAAAUACGAAACAUUUUCAAAUAUAUUCAUACUAUCGUGAUUCAUUAUAAAAAUAUGAUUAAUCAUAUAUAAAUUACUUAAUCCUAAUUUGUAAAAAAGAUAAUUAGUUUUUUUAUCCCUCUUAUAUUAUUUGUGGCGGCAGAAAGAAAAAAUAUGAUUGUUUGAGAUUUUUAGAAGGGCAUUUCUAUAGAAUUCUAACCGUUGAGACUUUUAGCGAAAUAUAUUUAUGAGGACAAAAAUAUCAUUUCACUUAUUCUCUAUUUAAAAAAUACCAGCACUCUAAGAUAGCGUUUGGUUCGGAAACAAGGGGGGAAUAAGCCCUUGUUCCCCCCUUUGUUCCCAAACGAUAUGUUUGGUUUUCGGGAACAGUAGUUUCCGGGUUUCUGGAACAAUCCGAUAUAAGGCUGGAACUGCUGUUCCACCCGUUUUCUAGAACUAGCGUGUUCCUUGAUAAAAACAAGAUUAAUUAAAAUCUAAAUUUAAUUUUAAUGGCAGUAAAUUAUUAAUUAAUCUAAUUAAUAUAUUUAAAUUAUUAUUUAUUACUUUAAUAAUUAAAUAAUUAAUUAAUUUAUUAUUUAUAAUUAAUUAUUAAUAAUUAGAUAAUUAUUAUUAUUAUUUUAUUAUUUAUAUUUAAUUGUUAAUAAUUAGAUAAUUAUUAUUAUUUAAUUUAUUAUUUAUAAUUAAUAAUUAAUAAAUUAAUAAUAUUUAUUAUUAUUUAUUAAUAAUUAUUAUUAUUUAUUGAUAAUUAUUAUUAAUAAUUAUUUAUUAUUAUUAAAUAGAUGAUCGAUAUUAUUAAUUUAUUAUUUAUAAUUAAUUACUAAUAAUUAUUAUUAUUUAUUAUUAUUAAUAAUUAGAUAAUCGAUAUUAAUUUAUUAUUUAUAAUUUUAAUAAUUAGAUAAUUAAUAUUAUUAAUUUAUAAUUAAUUAUUAAUAAUUAAUUUAUUAUUUAUUUUUAAAUAAUAUUUUGAUAUUAAUUAAUUACAUAAUAUAAUUUUAAUUUCAAUUAUAACUCUUAUUCCUUUUGUUCCAAUCUAAUCAUCCAAACACUAUUUAUUUUAUUCCUAGGAACAACUCAAUUUUCAUCCAAACGUAAAAUUAGUCUAGUACCUGUUUAUACCUGAACUUGUAUCUAUCCCUGAAACUAGCAGUUCUUACUUAUACCCGAACCAAACAAUAAUAAACUAGAGGGGCAAAAAUGAAUAUCACCGAAUUUUUAUAGAAAUAAAUAUGAAGAGAUAAAUUUUAUAAGAAUAUAUAUUUUUUAUUCGAUAUGUUUACAGAAAACUGUGUGAAAUUAACUCAAAUAUUUUUACUAUUUAUUUUUAUAGCUGUGAAAGACAAAAUUUUCAAAUGCUAUUGCUUGUUUGAUAAGAAGUGUGAAUACUAUCAUUUUAAUUUUUACUGUAAUUGACUUCAAACGCUAUUUUUAAAAUUUUGAGUUUAAAUCAAAAAUAAAAUUGUGAUGAAUGAAGUAGCUAAAAUAAACAUUUACUGCCAAAACCAUAUCCCCUCUCUCCAAGUAUUAAAAAAUAGAAGAAAGGGGACAAAUUAAACAAGCCCUCUAUAGGCAUGUUUGUUUCACCGAAACUAGACUUCAAAGUUUUACUGAAAUAGACUUUGGAUUGAAAUAAAGUUCGGUGAAAACUAUUUCUUUUUCGAUGUUUGUUUCGUAGUUAUGAAAGUGAAUUUCAUUAAUUCUGUUGUUUAUUUUGGUAGGAAGUGUGAAUAUAAAACUAGAAUUUAUGUAUAAAUAAUUAAUAAAUAAAACUAAUAUAAUUCUAUUUUAUAUAAUUAAAAUUUAAUUUUAAACAACAAAGUUAUUUUUUUAUAUAUAAAUUAUAAUAAUACAACAAUAAAAUUAUAAAGUAAAAAUAUUAAUACUUAAUUAAUUAAUUUUAUUAUAUUUUAAUUAUACAAACUAAAUAAAAACAUAUUAAAACUUAACUAAUCAAUUUAUAUCAUAUUUUAAAUAUACCAACUCAACAAAAAAAGUAAUUAGUAUCAUAAUUAAAUAUAUUUAAAUAUAACUAUUUUAUCUAAUAUAUUAUUUUAUUAUUUUUUUUAUCUCUAUCACCAUAAUUGAUUUUGGCCUACCGUUUUAGGUUAACUCAUGUUUUGACCAUAACCAUUUUACAAAGAACCAAACAACGGUAGUGAUCGUUGAUGGCGAAAACGGCAUUCUCCCUCUUUACUUAAUUCCACUCAAACAAACAUGCCCUAUGUUGUGAAGAAAGUCUAUAUAUAUUGUAGCACUUAUACCACAUCAUUUAUUUUCAGCUCGUCACUUUUUUUUUUUUCCGAGAGCAAAAUAUAAUAAAAUUAUUUUUUAAUAACCAUAAUAAUAAGAUAGGUUGCAGUAAGCACUAAUGGCGUGAACACAAUGGUCCGACGCAGACGCAGAUUCUCAAAGCAUUAUUUAGCACUUCCUUUACAUCUAAUUAAUUAUUACAAAAAAAAAAAGCAUAUUCUGUUUUUUUCCUCUAUCACACUACACUUUCGUAGCGUUCCCUACUUGCUUUUUUUAAAACAUUAUUAUUAUCUGAACCUCACACAGCAAAAGUGAGGCGUGCUGAAUAGUAGUAGACACGAGUUCGUUCGGUGUACGGGCUGGGUCAACACCCGCAGUCAAAGUAAAAGUCAAAGUCAAAGCCGGGACAUGGCAUGCACCUCCUGCACUUGGUUCACCGGUCUACUGUUUCUACCGUUGUUGCCACCAACCACCUUGACCGCCCCUUUCUCCUUUGCCGCCGCCACGGCCGCCCCCUGCGGUGGCGUCCGCAUCCUUUCGUCGAUGCUUUGAAGCGAGCGCGCCUCUUCUCUCAAUACGAACUUCUGUAUCUUCCCCGUCGACGUCUUUGGCAGCUCCUCCAAGAACACCACCUUGCGCGGCGCCAUGAACUUGGGCAUGUUGUCCCUGCAGUAGGAAAUGAUGUCGUCCUCCUCGACCACGCCUCCGCCGCCGUUGGCGUACUCCUUCUUCAGCGCUAGGAAGGCGCAGGGCGUCUCGCCCCACCGCGGGUGCGGCAUCGCCACCACGGCGGCCUCGCGCACCAUCGGGUGGCGGUAGAGCACGGCUUCGACCUCGACGCUGCUGAUGUUCUCGCCCCCCGAUAUAAUCACGUCCUUGGACCGGUCCUUUAUCUCGACGUACCCGUCCGGGUGGAUGACCCCGACGUCUCCGGUGAGGAACCACCCGUCUCUGAACGCAGCGGCGGUGUCGGCCUCGUUCUUGUAGUAGCCCUUCAUGAUGCUGCUCCCCCGGAGGACGAUCUCGCCGAGGGUGGCGCCGUCGCGGGGGACGCUCCGCAUGGUGUCGGCAUGCUUGACAUCGACGUCGCCGAGGCAGAGCGCGCUGAUGCCCUGGCGGGCCUUGAGCCGCGCCCGGUCCUGCACGGGGAGGCGGUCCCACUCGCCGGGCCACUCGCACACCAGCGCUGGGCCCGUGGCCUCCGUGAGCCCGUAGGCGUGCGUCACGCGGAAGCCGAGGCUCUCGAUGCUCUCCAGGAGCGCCGCGGGGGGCGGGGCGCCGCCGGUCAGCACUUCGACCACGUUGGCCAGGGGCCUGCGGUCGGACUCGGCGGCGUCGAGCAGCAUGCCGAAGAUGACGGGCGCGCAGCACAUGUGGGUCACCCCGCGCUCGGCGAUGGCGCGGUAGACGUCGCGCGCCGCCGUCCCCCGGAGGCACACGUUGGCGCCGCCGCGCGCCGCGACCCCCCACGUGAAGGUCCAGCCGUUGCAGUGGAACAUGGGGAGGGUCCACAGGUACACCGGGGCCGCGCCCACCCCCCACUGCAGGAGCAGCGCCAGGGUGCUCAGGUACGCCCCCCGGUGGCUGUACACAACCCCCUUCGGUGCCGACGUCGUGCCCGACGUGUAGUUCAGCGCGAUCGGGUCCCACUCGUCCUCCACCGCCACCGGCGGGAACCUGCCCGGGUCGCCGCUCGCCACCAGCAGUUCGUACUCCGCCUCGCCGAAGCGCGCGCCGGUCGGGGCGUCGACGUCAUCGAUCAGGACUAGGAGAGGGAGGCGGGGGUUAGCACCCGAGCCGGACGCCAGGUGGCGGAUGGCGUCGGCGGCGAGGCCGACGAAUUCGUAGUCGACGAAGAACACCUUGGCCUCCGAGUGCUUCAGCAGCCCGGCCACGUUCGCCGCAUUGAGCCGCAUGUUUAUGGUGUUGAGCACCGCCCCGGCCAUCGGCACCGCGAAGUGCAUCUCAUAAAGUGCCGGAACAUUCGGCGCAAGAACAGAAACCUAUGUAUAUAUAUUUAGAUACGUCAAAAAUAUAUAUAUUAUAAAAAAUAAGAAAAAAAAUACGCGACCAUGCAUUAUAAGCUAGCAUAAAAAAAAUGCGUUACAAUAUUUCUGAUGGCACUUACCACAUCGUUUUUGGAAAUGCCGAGAGAUCGGAGAGAAGCAGCGAGGCGACAGCAGCGGUCGUACGUCUGCUUCCAGGUGAAGCAGGUGCGCUCGUAGAUGACGGACGGGCGAUCCGCGUAGACGGCGGCCGCCCUCCGCAAGAAGGUGACGGGUGUAAGGGGGAUGUAGUUAGCUCCGCAUUUAGGCAAUUGAUCCAUGAGUGGCUCAAUCGAUCUCCUCAACGAAACUUUUUAGGUUACUCGAGUUGGAGUUGAGAGAACAAGGGUGCAGGAGAUGUGUUUAUUAGUUACUAGUGCAAAAAGAGCCAAGAUGAGAGUGUGCGAGUUCUAAGAGGCAGGGUUGUACAUGCUUUAUAUAGAAAGAGAGCGUGGAAUCAAAAUGUAUACGGGCCCACUAAUAUUAAAACCGAUUUGAAAUGAGAAAAUUGCAUUCUAAGUCUUACAUCAUAUUUUUCAGCAUUAAUUACAUCAUUUGAUAUCGACCGUUUCAAAAAAAAAAAAAAAAUACAUUAAAUAAUAUCAAUGAUUUUUUAAAAAAACUUAAAUGAUGCUAAACAGGCUUUAGCAAGUCGCGCAGCUAAUUUAUUUGCUGUUAAUAGUUGAUAGGUAAUUAAUUGGAAAGUUAAUUUACCCAAUAAUUCCCAGUUAAUUGUAAAUCUGAAAAUAAAUUAGAAUGGUAAAUGUUUAGUGUGGGAUUAAUUAAUUUGUGAUAAUGUGAAGCAAAAAUAAGGCCCAUGUGAUUUGUGCAGGGAGGAGGUGCAGGGGGAGAGUGUAGGGAAAUUGCAGGAUAUAAAAAAUUAGUGGGUUGAACGUUGACUGUUGACUGCUGAUGCUCUUACUUUUGGUUUAACGAGUCUUUUCAAGGAAGGAAGGGAGAUAUUGAAAGGAAAGGAUAUAUAGUGGCGAUUUAGGAAUUCCACAAAUCGGAAAAUUACUAUUUUUUUUUUUUGAGAAAUAGAUACCACAAGUGACAAAAGAUUUGGUGAUUGAUACUCAGUCCCAAAUUCGAAUUAUAGUUGAUAAAUAUUUUCAACUAAGCUUAUUUCUAAAGAAAAAUAAACGAAGCGGCCUGUUAUCUUUCUCUAAAAAAAAUAUAUAUUUAGUAAGAAAAAAAAUGGGGUCGUGGUUAUGAUAAAAAUUGUAAAAAAAAAAAAAAAAGUUUACAAUUCAUUUUGAGUUGUAGACCAUAUAUUGUUUAAAUUAAAAUCAUGCAUGCAACAUUUUGGGUGAAACUAAAUUAGUUUCUUUUGUGGAUCUUAUAGACUUAUACUUCCAAUCCAGCAAUCUAAUAAUUUGUAAGUAGAAAAAAAAAUUAUACGUAACUGAGUGAAUAUUGAUGGAAUUAAAAUAUGAAAUGAUAUUAAGAAUUGCUAAAUGUAAUAAUUAGGUUUGAAAGGAUUGGAGCUAAAGUGAAACAUUUUUCAAAUUUUGAGACUUCAAAAUAUCUAACUUAAAAUUUUAAGAAUACGAAAUAACCACUUAAAAUAUUUAAAAACUUAAGCUGGAUGUGAACACUAUUUUACUAUUUUGUAUUUUAAACGUCCCUCACAUCUCGACUUGAUCGAGACUUUUUCUUUUGAGAGAUUCAACUAAAAUAAAACUAUAAGUGUGUAGAAUUUGAAUUCAAUACAUGCAUCCUAUUCUGACCUUUUGUCACUAUAUAUUCUUAAGUAAGCAUAUUUUAUUAAUCAAAUGGAACAUGGAGACAAGUUAAGAAAAAAAGAAAAAAAAAAGAAAUUAGAAAAGAACGGUUUCAAAUAACACGAGACCAUUUUAUCUACCAUGCAUGUGUCUUUAAUUUAUGUGAUAACGAGGCGAAUAGGACAGCCUUGCAUUCAACACUAUAAAAAAAUUAACAUUUAAGGAUACUUUUUUCAUAUUUAUAAAAUACUUAAAAAUGUUCUAAUAUAGUUUAGCAUCAUAUUUGAAAACACUAGUAAAUAAAGAAUCGUCACUUAUAUACUGACGCUUAUGCCAAGCGUCGGUAAAAUAUAUUCUAAUAUUUUAAAGCGUCAGAACUUUUUGAAACUUUUUUAAUAUUCUAACAUCUCCAGCAUUAAAAAAUAAAAAAAUAAUAGUAAAAUUUAUUAUUGUAUAAAUUGAUUUCAUAUGACAGUGCUUUUGAAGCGUCAGUAUUUGCUAUAUUAUGGAGAAGUUUGGGAACGCUUUUUUCAAGUGUCGUCUAAAAAGCAUCAUUAUAAUGAGAUUUUGCUUAUACGGCAAGAUUGUUCCCACCAAAUUUUUGUUUUUAGUAGCUAGUCACAUCCAAUUUAGCCAUAUCUUAUUUGCCCGUCUCAUGUUUGAAAGUAAACUGGACUAACUAAUCAUGAUCAUAUAACCAACUGUUCUUAGAGCAAGUGACAAAGGGCUUAGUGGUUAGUAUCCGAGAUUUCAAGUUCGAAUCCUAAUUGAUUCAUAUUUUCAGCUAAGUUUAUUUCUAAAUGAAAUAAACGAAGCGGGUAGCGUGCUAUCUAUCUNAAAAAAAAAAAAAAAAAAAAAAAAAACUUAUCAUGAUCGUAUGCUGUUCUCCACUUUUCUUUGGAAAAAAGUUCUUAUGGUAAAUGGUCUUUUCGUUCGUUCAUUAAAGGCAACUUGGUGGGAUGGUCUAAGCAAACUCCAGCAACACGAGACCCCGACCAGAAAAAGAGAGGGGAAAAAAAAAAGAAAAAAAGAACUGUUCCACGUACUUCGUUUUCUCCCUCUUUAAUUUUUCCAUUCCUUUUAUUGAUUGAUCGACCACGUUAACGACUUAAGUUGUUGUUGGCGCAUGAACCAUGCAACAAUGUUCAUUAAUAAUUGCUAGGAACUUUCCUUCCCAGAGGUCUUCAAUGUGAUGGAUUACCAAAAAUUGAAAGUCAGUGAAUGUUGGGGGAGCAACGGUUGGAACUGAACUAGGAUCCUGAGAGAUGGUACUAGCUAGUUUUACUCAUGAACCGCGCCCCAGACUAUUUUGGCGCCGGAGCACCGACAGGCGUUUCUCGGUUAGAUCAACCUAUGCAGCGUUAAGCGAAGGGGGUAUAAGGGACGCACACGUGAGCAGGAUUAGGGACUCCAAAUGCCCCUUAAAGUAAAAGUGUUCUGUUGGCUUAUUCUCUGCGAAAAACCUAGUAAAGAGAGGGUGGACAGGGGACACAACUUGUGUGCUAUGUGGGACGGAUCGGGAAACUGUGGACCACCUAUUCACCCGGUGUGUUUUUAGCAGAUUCAUUUUAGUGAUAGGUCUGGAGAACGUUCAAUCUAGGGACCUGGGGAAUGACGUGAUCUCCGUUUGGGACAGGUGGAUGGGUACAUAGGAAAGGAAUACACUAUUUGAGAAACAAUUUAACCGAAUUAGUAGACUACUAGUGGGUCGUUUGGAAGGCCAGAAACGAUACAAUCUUUAGAAAAAUUGAAAUGCACCCGGUGCAAGUAGUUCACAAGCUCAAACUGUUGAUGAAGGAUUGGGAUCACUUCCUCCCUGCAAAGCAGCGCAUGUAGUAGUUGUAGUAGUUUGGGUGGUUGUUUUUUUUUUUUUUUUUUCCUCCGAGGCUUUGACUGCCUCACCUCAGUAGCUUAGUUUAUCAAUCCAAUGAAUGAAGCGGGUAGCGUGCUAUCUUUCUCCUUAAAAAAAAAAAAAAAUAUUUGCUAGGAACUUGUAUUCCACGUGCUUGUGGUUUUACCCUAUUCAAUUGUAAUAUGAGAUUAUAUUUUUUUUAAAUUAAUGAUGUCAAAUUUGAUAAGCCUAGUAACUUAACUAGGUCCCUUUUUUUUUUUCUUAUCUUUGUAUUUUAUAUAGUUUUAAGGAAGUAUGUCAUCGUUAAUUAUAAGUUGGAAAGAAAUGUCACCCCAAAAAAUUGAUUUUUAUAAAAAAUAGUGCAGGAAUUAUUAAUAUAUAAUCUAAUGAUAACCGCUUAAUUGCGCGGAACUUCCAUAUCUUGUGUUUUUACCCCAAUUAUAAUAUGAGAUUAAUCUCCUUCUAACAAAAAAAAUAAAAUGAUAAAUCACUUAACUAAGUAUUUUCAGUUCCUUGAAUUGUUAAGAACUGUUGGUAAGCUAUUCUCUACCUGACAUAGAGUUUUAUUUAUCAGCUCUAAGAGGUUCUAAGUUUAGUUUCUAUAUAUGUUAUUUAAUGACAUAAUUUUUUGUUUAUAAAGUUUUUGUAAUCGGUGCUUAUAUUAUAGUUCAUCUGAUCUUCACGAUGCAUAUAUAUAUAAGUUGAGAUGUUAAGAUUUUUGGAUCAUUUCCUAACAAAUUGAUUUUAGUUUCCACCCAUCGGUCAACAAAUUAAUUUAAUUUUCACCUACAUCAGAUAGCAUGGUGCAUGCACUGUAGCCAAUCAUUUUACUCCAUCAAUGCAAAAGGUUUUUCUAUGGUCAGAGACUCAAGAGUUUCUUUUCGAUUGAUAAUCUCGAGCCACGUACUUUGGUAGAUAUAAGUAAUAUUAUCUUUGAAUUAUUUAUUGAUCUCUACAAAUAUUGAAAUCGUUAAUCCUAAUACGUUUAAGUAAUAGGACAUUGGCGACGUGUGGUCAAUUCAAAUUUUAACCAAAGAAUUUAAACGAAAUAAUUGUUUUGACUAGGUAAAAACCAAACUUCUUUCUUUCUUUAUUUCUUUCUUUCUUUCUUUUUUUUUAAUAUUUGAUUGCUAUAAUGUCUCAUCUAGGGGUUAAGUAUAAAAUUCAAAGUAAAUGAAGAUGUCAAGGUAACAAAAGGAGUGGCGUUUAAUUUUGCAUCUACGCAUGGGAUUGUCAAAUUACAGUAAACAAACAAUGAUGUUAGCACAUAAUUUAAUAGUUUAAAAGUCAUUUACAAGAUAAUUAAACUAUACGUCACCUAAGGCAAUUAAUUCCAAAAUAACGGUUGUGUCAUUUUUUCAAAACUCUCGGGAUAUAUCCCACCAACCAAAAUUGGACUUAUAUGCUUGUAAUAAUAACGUAUAAAUUUUUUUUAUUAUUUUUUUUGGGAAAAACAUCGAUCGAUUGAGCGAAUCCAGGAGCUCUCAGUAUUUUAUUUGUUUUUAUUCUAAAAAAAUUAACGGAUGAAUUUUUUUUUAUUCUUAUCUUUUGUCGUAUGGCUAAUGAUGUAGCGGAUAUAAAACAAUGUGUAUCGUAUGCAAAAAGUAGGGAAGCAAAAUAAGUAAUACAUUGUUUUUAUUAUUCUAUUACUGAAUAAUCCAUUGCCCGAAAAAAUUAUCAAAUGAAAUGAGUCCGAUCCCACACUUCUGGCUUGCAACCGUCUAUGAUACUAACUUUAACGACUCAGUUCAUUGGCGCUGAUAAUACGUUAAUCCUAACCAUUGGUGAAAAAUAUUUAAGUGCAAUUCUUAGUAUUAGAAUUUAUCAAUCAUAAUCUCUUUUUUAUUUGAUGUGAGAUUACGUCACGAAUUAGAACAAAAAAAAGCUAGGGACUAAACCUAUAAAUGUAAUGUUUUGGAUUGGGUUGAUUCUGAUGAUUAUAUCGGAAUUAAAUAUCCUAAGCUUUGUGCAGUUAGAUUGGAUUGAAACUCCCAAACAUGUUGGCCCGGAAAAAAAUAUGCAUUAAUAUUAAGUAUUGCAAAUUUAAAAACUCAUUUUAUAUUUUGGUCAUAAAAAGAUAUCUAAGCAGCUUCAUUUCUCCAAUCACUAUAACAAAAACGGUUUAUAGCGACACUUUUAAAUGUAAGUACAUGUCAAAAAAGUGCUGCUAACUAAAAUUACCGACACUUUUAAAAAGUGUUGCUAUAUGUGGGGUCGCUAGGUAUAUAGUGACAGUUAAAAAGUGUCGCUAUAACCUAAAAGAGUGCUGCUAAUUUACCAACACUUAUUUAAGUAUUUAGCAACCGCCGAAACUCUAUCUCGUUGGCUACGGUGGCGGAGGAGGACGACAGGAAAGGCUCUUCGUCUAGAAUUUCAGUGGAUUGAGUGAAAAGAGAAGAAAAGAUGGUAAUUAAUUUUUUUUUUUUCUUUUCUGUUUGUAAUCGAGCCAAAUGGACUGGGUGUGGUGGGUUGAGUAGAAUAAUCUUUUAUUUUUGGUCGGAUUUGGCUUUAUAUUUAGGCAUUAGUAGAUGUUUUUUUAAAUUUUAGGAUAAAUAGGACACUUAUCCCAAACAUGUGUCCCUAUAACCUAAUUCUGUUGUAGUGAAUGGAGCUCCAACUACUGACGUUAUUUUAAAAGCUAAGUCGAGCAGACACUUAAAAGAUACAGAAGAAAAAAAAAAAAAAAAAAAAAAAAAAAACACCGAGAGCGAACCGUCAAUUGUGAUAAUUUUUGUACAGGUGAUGUUAGUAUUCAUUACCCGACUUAAUCCAGUACAAUUUGGGUGAGGUUUGGUUCUCACAAUUUGGAAAUUUGGGUCUAGUUUUUUUGAGUUGGUUUGAAGUUACAGAACAACGACCUUAUUAGGGCAAAAUAUAUGCUAAUGUUAUUAAAUUACGGUGAACCGAAUUACAAAAGUGAAUAUUUACGAUCGAAAUUUUACUUCAUCCCUUUCCAUUGAUCGAUGAAAAAAACGCGGUUCCUUGUGCUAAGUUAAACGUGACACACAUGCUAGCAUUAAAAUAUAUACACAGGUUAGGAUUUAGGAAUCAAACUUGUGCGUGCCCCUAUGCAGUUUUAUGUUUUUACUGUAGAGUAGAUAUCCCAAGGGACAAAAUGUAGUAUGCCAAAAUUGGCAAAGAAUAGCAAUUUCCUCUUAUCAGUACAUUUUCGAGAAGCCCACAUGUUAGGUGAUGAGAAUGAUGGACCCAUCGCACGUGUUAGAGUGUGAAAAGUGUGUGUAUUUAGAUGCAAAAUCGAAUGAGUCUAUUUGCCUUAUUGGUUCAUUAUAACAAUGCAUGGAGUACAACGUUUGCCACGUGAAUUGAAAUAGAGAAUAAACAAUAUAUACGUACAUAUUUCCGAAGUAGGGUGGGGAACAUGCGUACAGAUGCAAGUUGAUUCGGAUUUACAUAUAGAGCUUUGAUUCUGAUGGGUUCUUCUUACUAGGGCGAAAAGUAGAAGCUAAUUUUUUUUUUUAAAAAAAAAAAACCUCGAAUCAUUAAUAAAAUAAAAUAGUGCAAGGGUAGAGAAUCCCUUUCUUUGGUUGAUUUAUUUCAAUCUAUCAAAAAUUCGCUCCCAUUCUGAUCACUCCCAAAUAAAGCAACAAGUCGAGACAAAAAAUAAGAUAAAAUUUAAUGCGUUGCAAAUCCACUUUGACUUGCCAAAAAAAAAUAGGGCUAGGUGAGAGACCCCUUCUGCCUUCGAAUCUGUCCCGUUUGCAUUCCUAAACACACACACAAAGAUAUAUGUAUAUACAAAUUAUGAAAUUAAAGCACCAUUGAUUGAUUUAAAUCAAAAAAAUUAAAAUAUUAAAUAUAUGUAUGUAUAAUAAAAUUAAAAUUUUGAAAUAAGAUAGUUAACUCAAAAUACUCCAUAGUUCAUGUGAAUUUUAUAUAUUUUUAUCUUUCUAGUAUAUAUAUAAUUUUUGAAAUAAGUCCGAACUAAACUAACUUUAUGUUUGAGAAUUGACUUAUUCUUAAAAAUAAGAAAAAUAACAUUUUAAUAGUUAGAUUGGCAUAGUGGAAUAGGAGUAAUUGAAAUUUUAAAAUAAAAAUAUUUUAUCUAAUUAAUAAUUAUUGAAUAUUAAUAAAUAAUAAUUUAAUCAAUAAUUAAUUAAUUAUGAAUAUUGUGCAAGAUAAUGGAGAGAACCACAUUAAUUAUUUACUUACCUAUAAAAAAUAAGUUAAUAUGCUAAUUUAUUAUUUAAUCAAUUAGAUAAUUAGUUAAUAAACUAAUUAGAUUUGUCAUAUAUAAUACUAAUUGCUUAAUUAAUAUAUAUUACUUAAGGAAUAAGCACAUAAGAUAAUUAAUGAUUUAACUGGCUAGUUAAUUACGCACAAAAAAUUAAUUACGUACCUAGAUAGUUAAUUAAAUAUUUAUAAAUUUGAUGAGUUAAGGGAAUUAGUUAAUAAGUUUUGGUAUACGAUAUAUUUAUUAGUAAUAUUUACAAGCUUAAUUUGUAAUUUAACGACAAAACAAGAAAGGAAAAUAGUAGUCCCAUUCUCAUAAGUGAUUAAUCCCAAAAUUCAGAAAUAAGGCGAAUUGUUGUUUCCCAUUUGUUUGAGAGAAUAAACCGAAAUAAGACCCUUAUUCCACCUUUGUUUUCCAAUCAAACAGCAAACGAGUUUAGUCCCAAAGAGAAUGAAUGUGCAAAACAUGAUUUAAAAUUUUCAUUAUUCGAUUCAAACAAUUCAAAUUCUAAAUUUGACCCUAGUAAAUUACACUAUCCUAUAUGUUUCUAGAUGAAUGCACAGUGUCUUUUUACGUGCAGAGUUUUCACAAGCGCAUGCAUGUCUCUCCAAAUCUUUGAAUAUUAGUUAUUUCACAAGAACAAGAGAUUUUUCGAAACUUUUGCACUAAAAUUAUAUUGAACAAAAUAUUUAAUUUUGAAAGAGGGAAAUAGCAUAUCAUCUGCUUAGUUCUUUUUUAUCUAAAAAAUAAAAUUAACUAUAGACUUUGAACUUAGAAUUUUGAGUAUUAGUCAUUAAAUUUUUUAGCGCUUACGCUAAUUAUAUUAUAAAUACUCAUUAUAUUUUUGGCUGGAGUAAAUCUAUGGGUUUACCCAACCAACUACAUCGAAUUGUUUUGAGUUAAUUCUUCGUUUGUACUAUUACGACCAAAAGCUAAGCUUAAUUAGGCCUCAUAUGUAACUCGUUUUGGAGACAACACGUACGAUUUCAAGCGCAUGAUGUAGAAACAUAUAUGCAUGGGAACAGUUUACUACUGAGUUUCUUCGUUGUACGGCUACGACCCAGAACCAAUUGAAAGACUUAGGUGUGUCAAUAUAGAAACACAAUGUUAACAUAAAGCAUUAAAAACGUUGUUCUCUAAUUACUUAUUGGGUGCGUUUGGUUCGCGCUAUCUUUUAAAGAUUCAUAGUAAUCCAAUGAGAAUAAAAAAAUAUGACGGUGUUUGGCUAAACGCACUAAGUAAUUUAGUUGGUAAUAUUGGAUUCACUUGGGAAUAAGAUUCACCCCAAAGUACUAAUCUCAUUCCCUUGAGGGGGAUGGGUAUCCUCAUAUUAAUGGAUUGGGGUAAUCAUAAUAUGUCUAAUCUUUUUCUUUCUUCAUACCCGCCGGCUAAUUGAUAUUAUUUUUCUUUACACUCUAACCUUAUAUCUCUCUCUAAACUUAUUUUUCUCUCUAAAAUUCAACUUUUUUUUCUCCUCUCUAAACUAAGCUUUCUCUUCUCUCUCUCUCUCUCUUUUUCUAAAAUUUCAACUCUCUCACGUCCUCUAAUUUCGACUAUAUUUUUCUUUUUAUUUUUUAAUAUACUCUCUCUCUCUUAACUUAUAUCUCUCUCAUCUUUUCUAAAAAAAUGUUAAACUUUUGGUAACAUUAUUUAAAAUUAAUUUAAUGUAAUUAUUAAUUAAUUGUUAUAUUUUUGUAAUAUUAAAUAACAUAGAUUAAUAUUACCGUGCGAACCAAGCACAGGAAUUCCACAUUCUUAGUAAUAGGAUGAAUAGGAAUAAGAUUCUCGGAUAUCUUUUAUUCCUAGUAAUCUUUCAUAAUUGCGAACCAAACCACCCAUUAAGUUUUUGGAUUAACGUUGUUUUAUACGAUAUGAGGUAGUGAGUUUAAUCCAAUAAUAUUUUUAGUUACCAACAACAAUUGAGCAAAGUAUAUAAUAUGUGAAACUGAGUAUUGUUUAGUCUUGAGAAAUGAUUCGUACUUUUAAAAAAUAAUAAUAAAAAAGAUCUUAACCGUUGAUUAAUAUAGUAAAAAUGUAAUUUUAAUAUUUAGCAGGUAAAAAGAUUAUUUUAUUCAAGGUUUGUUUGGUAAUUAAACAAUACAACAUUUAAAGAACUUUUAAUUGAGGUCCUAAAUUUAGGCAUUAAUUGCACUAAUUAGAGAAAUUAAUUGAUUAACCAAAUUUAUGCAUUAAUUAGGCAUUAAUUUAGGCAUCUACUUUAAAUGUUUUAGUGUUUCUAAAAUUAUGCAUUAAUUUAAAUUAUAGGAAUUUUAGAAAUAGUUCUAUUUCUAAAUACGAUGAAUUUAAAUUUUAAAUAUUAAAUAUUUAAAAUUUAAAAGUGAAAUUUAAAUUAGAGGAAUUUUGUAUUACUAUUUAAAAAAAUUGUAAUGUUGGUAAAUAUUUUAAUUCAACAUAUUUAAUAUAUUUAAGAAACUUUUAAAUUCAUAUAGUUUAGACAAUAAUUUUGUAUCACUUAUUUAAAAAAUUUUGAAUGUAGGUUAAAAAAUUUAUAAUUUAAAUAUAUUUAAUAUGUUAAAAAAAAAUUAGAGUUGUGCUAGUACUUUAGACAUUAAUUUUGUAUGACUAUUUAAAAACAUUUGUAAUGUUGGUAAAUAUUUAAAUUUAACAUAUUUAAUACGUUUAACAAAAUUAUGAAUUCAUCUUAGUCAUUAAUUUUGUAUACUAAUUUUAAAAAAUUAAAUGUGGGCAAAUAUUUAAAUUCAACAUAUUUAAUCACAAAAUAAUCUAAAUUUCAUUCUUAUUUUAUUAAAAAAAGAUUUAGAAAACAAUAGGUAUGGAAAGAAAUUUUAAUGCAUAGUUUCUUAAAAUUAAACUCGUUUGAAAUAUUAAACAAAUAAACAAAGCGAAAAGAAAAAUUAAAAGAUCAUAUUGUCAAAUAAUUUGAAAAUUUUUUUAUAUGAAAUGCCAAAUUAUGAAAGGAAAGAUAGAGAGAGAAAAAGUAAACAAAGAGAAAAUAAAAAUUUUGAAAAUAUAGUAGAGGUAAAAUGACUAAAUUGCCCAUGUAUUAAAAGAUAAAAAUAUUCUUUUUUGAGAUACCUAGUAAUCGGUACCUCUCCCAAAGUGACCUGCUAUUGCAGGUCACAAUUUAAAAAAAAAAACUAAAUUUGAGCAAUUGAAUACGCAUGAAUAAACGGUAACGAAAAAAAAAAAAAGUAUAGAAGUAUUACUCUAUACAAANUCCAGUACCUUAGACAUUAAUUUUGUAUGACUAUUUAAAAACAUUUGUGAUGUUGGUAAAUAUUUAAAUUUAACAUAUUUAAUACGUUUAACAAAGAGAAAAGAAAAAUUAAAAGAUCAUAUUGUCAAAUAAUUUGAAAAUUUUCUUAUAUGAAAUGCCAAAUUAUGAAAGGAAAGAUAGAGAGAGAGAAAAAGUAAACAAAGAGAAAAUAAAAAUUUUGAAAAUAUAGUAGAGGUAAAAUGACUAAAUUGACUAUGUAUUAAAAGACAAAAAUACCUUUUUUUGAGGUACCUCGUAAUCGGUACCUUUCCCAAAGUGACUGCUAUUGCAGGUCACAAUUUUUAAAAAAUUAAAUCUGAGUAGUUGAAUACGCGUGAAUGAACGGUAAUGAAAAAAAAAAAUAAAGUAUAGAAACAUUACUCAUUAGUCUUUGGCUCUUAGCUUGUUAGUAUCUAUUUCUUUGUAUUUUUUCCUUUUUAAUUCUUCUAUUAUAUAGAGUACACGCGCCUCCUGUACUUUUGAAAAUACGGACACUACAACAAAAACGGUCUAUAGCGACACUUUUAAAUGUAAGUACAUGUCAAAAAAGUGCUGCUAGCUAAAAUUACCGACACUUUUAAAAAGUGUUGCUAUAUGUAGGGUCGCUAGGUAUAUAGUGACAGUUAAAGAGUGUCGCUAUAACCUAAAAGAGUGCUGCUAAUUUACCAAAACUUAUUUAAGCAUUUAGCAAUCAUCGAAAUUCUAUCUCGUUGGUUGCGGUGGCGGAGGAGGACGACAGGAAAGGCUCUUCGUCUAGAAUUUCAGUGGAUUGAGUGAAGAGAGAAGAAAAGAUGGUAAUUGAUUUUUUUUUUUUUUUCUGUUUGUAAUCGGGCCAAAUGGACUGGAUGUGGUGGGUUGAGUAGAGUAAUCUUUUAUUUUUGGUUGGAUUGGGCUUUAUAUUUAGGCAUUAGUAUUUAUUUUUUAAAAUUUUAGCAUAAAUGGGACACUUACUCAAAAGUGUCCCAAACAUGUGUCCCUAUAAUCUAAUUCUGUUGUAGUGGGAGGCCUCCAUAUUUAUAAGUUAUUUUUAAUGAUAGAAUAUUCGAUUUGACAAUUGACUCUGUUAGGUAUAAUCUACGCUAUUGAAACUAUCUGGAAACUAAAUUUAAUAAUCUUUUGAUAUCAUUUACCACGUUAUCAAAAGGUCUCAAAAUUAACUAUUUUAAAAUCCAAAUUACAUAAAACUUUAAUAAAUAUUCAUAACAAGAUCAAUACUUCUGAUUUGAAAUUUAAGUCUUUUAUCACUAUAUUUUAUGAGAUUUUAAUUUACAGCCGUUCAUUUUUAGGCUACUCGUUCACUAGGUAAAUGAAAUCAAAAAAUUGUAAAAUUUAAUUUCUAGAUAGUUCUAAUAACGUAGAUCAUAUCUAACCGAACCGAUUGCUAAUUGUAAAAAUAGUUAAUUUCUU
rnacentral:lncRNA from 1 species